rnacentral:lncRNA from 1 species
GAAAACAUAAAUAAUAGAAUGGAUAAUUUCUCUACUGCCAUCAAGAAUCAAAUUAGCUUUAAUAAAAUGAUUGAAUCCCAGUUAAAUCAAAUAGCUGCUGCUGUUCCUACUACUAACCCCGGUAUACCAUCACAACCGGAAGGAUUAGAAUCUGCAAAUCUUGUAGACAUGUUCGAUGCAGGUAAUUGGAGUAACCCCGUCACUGAAUUUUCUACUGACCGUCUGCCGGUCAAGAGAGGCGAUCCAGGACGCCCCGUCAUCCCGAUCUCCAUCGGCAUGGUGGACGUUCCAGAAGCACUCUGUGACUUUGGCUCUAGCGUCAACAUUAUACCCAGGGUACUCUAUGAGAAAUUCUUUACAUAUCCUUUAUUAGAAACAACCAUGUGUUUGCAGUUUGCAGAUCAGACGAUAACUUUUCCAAAAGGAAUAGUGAGGAACCUUUGUGUCCGAGUUGGUACUUUAUAUACCCCAGCAGACUUCAUAGUGGUUGAGACCGGAAAUGAUGAGAGAGCACCUAUCAUCCUAGGAAGGCCAUUUUUGAACACCACGGGAGCUAUCAUCUACGCUAGUGCUGCCAAGAUCAGUUUCCACGUCAAAGGGAAGAAGGAGACAUUUUUCUUCAAGAACAAGACUACACAAAUUCCAGAUCAAUCCAGACAUAAAUCAGGGAAGAGGACCAACAGGAGGAACAGGAACAAGCAAGUGUGGACCGAGUCAGCUAAGAUGGUCACUGUAUUCCAUGGAGGCCAAGAUCACCAACUUAAGUCACCGUUUUUGACCAAGAAGGACGACCCAGGAAUGCCAAGAAUCUACUGCUCCAUAAAUGGAUAUAACUUCUACAAGACGAUUUGCGACACCGGAUCGGGCGUCAACAUAAUGGCCGCAGUCACUUAUCGGCUCUUGUUCGGGACCAUGCCACUAAGACUAACAUACAUUCAGCUCCAGAUGGCAGAUCAGACAUUUCGAGAAGUUCAAGGAAUAGUAUCUGAUGUCCCAGUCAAAAUAGACGAUCACUUUGUCUACACAGACUUUCAAGUUAUUGACAUGGGAGAAGACGAGUACGAUCCACCCAUCAUCCUUGGAAGACCGUUCCUCAACACCGUUAAAGCAAUUAUCUACAUUGGAACUGGAGAAGUCCAUAUGCACUUCCCCUCAGAGAAGGUACGCCGUUAUUUUACAGACCCUAACUAUAUCAUUGAAGAAUCUAAGCAGGUCAGAAAGAGACGCAACCGCAACCAGAGGAGGCAGAUCAUCAAGGACGGAUGGGCAGACUGUGAAGGAGAAGUUGUAAGGGAAGUUGUAAGGUCAGAAGACGUAGAGUUUAAACAGAAUUAUCCAGAGGAGAUUGAAGCACCGAGUCAGGUAUGGAAAAUGAAGAUAACUAUACAUGAAGAGGAGGCGCUACCGGAAGUACCGGCUUCGCCACCCAACGAACCUCAGAACAAUUAAGAAAAUGGAGAGUCCCGUUCGGAGGACUUAAAAACACCGAACGCCUUGCCAAGAGGUAAACUUGGUAGUUAUCUUUUCCCUUUCAAAUUAUUCCAACUAGUUUACUUAGUUAAUCAUGUUCGUGCUAUUCUAAAAAGAAAAUAAAAAAAAAAUAUAUGAAAAACAGUAAGCCCCAUGUGAGUAUACGAGUGGCAUAAAACCCAUAAGUACAUUCACUGUGGUGGCAUAAAAACAAAAAUAAAUAUUUUUUCUGCUUUAUAAAAACAAAAAUAUAAAAAGUAACAAUUAUUAAGGAGUCUCAACAUGAUAAGGGCUUGAUAUUUAUGCUAACACUUAAUCAGUUCCACAAGCUAUGUUGUCUAUUUGAGCUCCACAGAAUUUAAGAAUCAAGAAGACUCGCAGACGGAGGACAUUCUAAUCGCUGUCAGAAUGCUGCUGACUUUCAAAUACACCUCUGCCACCUGCUAGCUACAUCAAGAGAAAUUACGUCAAAAUUCAGCUUGGGGGAGAGCACCCCCAUUUAUCCCGAUAAGUAUAUCUAUCUAUCUUUAUACUUAUAUUAUUUUAGAAUAUUAAAAUACACAUAAACUAUGGGAAAACCAAAUAAAGAUUUUAUGCUUAUAUAUGUCUUUUGCUUAGUGUGUUUAACAAAUAAAUAAAGUGGCUAUGCUAAUCUGUAUCUAAACAAAAACUUAAGCAUGGAUAUGAUGAAUAGUUGCUCUGCCUAAUUUGCACAUUCUAAGUUCUCUCUCAAGUUUAGAUAUAACUGUUAUAAUUUAAAGCUUGCCCUAGACCUAAACUUGUGGGAUGAAAACUUGAUCUGAUGUCUAAGUUGUUAACGGAUACGAUAUAGGAAGGUUGAGCUGCUGUUUAUCUGUUCCUAGAGAUGCUAGAAUUCUGGAGAAUUUUAUCUUUGAAAAUCUUUAAAAUGUUGCAUGAUGAGUUCCUGUAUGAUGAGAGCUUAAAUUCCUACCACAGCCAUAUAUACAUGCUUGCUAGACUUUGAGCCACACAUUUAUUAUUUACUGCUUAUGAGCAUUGAGUGUGGUCAAGCUGUGUAGACCCUUAGGAGCUUGUCAUGUGGUUAAAUCAAGAUUUCACUUGCACGUUCACUCAUAUAUGCUACUUCUACUCCAGAAGUACCAUCCACAUAUAUCCAUCCAUUUCCAUCUCCAGAAUCACCCAAAAAUAUUCUGCUCCUAAUCCGGGAGAGAAUAACCAAAAAUAUUUCUGUUUCCCCUUGUGAAAUAAAUGCUCAAGUUAUCUUGUUACUACCACUUGCUAUAUUAUCUCAAGAGAUGAGUGCUCUAAAAAAAAGAGAAGAAAAUAAAAAAAAUAUACGAGGAAAUAAAAAGGAGCAAGUGCUCGGAACCUCGAAAGAAAAGGAAGAGUGAGACGAGAGGUAAAAAUGGACAAGUGUCCGACAGUAGAAUUAGGGGUGCGAGAACCCACCUGAGAGACAAGAAAAAUAAGAGCAUCUCAUUCUCCUCAUAAAGUUUCAAAAGCAAGGAAGGUAUGUAUCCCCUCAAAAGAGCAAAGUAGAAUUAGACUUCCACCACCAUUGUUUUCACCAUUGUUAUCACCAUCAUCACCAUACACCAUUCAUUCGCCACACAUGCACAUCUUGAUUUGACUUAUUGAUUUGUUUCUUUGGAUCCAUGGUUUGACUAUACAAUAAAUGUCUUGUAAGUAUGUAUAUUUUAUCUCCCAUCUAUGAGCUCCAGAUAUUAAAGCCUUAUUAGGGUAGGGUGAGAGAGAAGGCAAUGUCACUAUGCCUUAUACCACAAAUACUACAUAUCUUGAGAGAAGGCAUAUACCAUCAAUGCCUUGGUAAGGAUCCAAAAAUACCACAAAAGAGAGACCUGAGAGAAUCAUACAAGGAAUCUCUGAGUUUUAUUUGAAAAUCUGUAAAAACCCCAGAGCUAUAGCUGAUCAAGAAUAAGAGACAUGGCACUUGGCUAGACUGUUCUGUCUUUUAACCACUCAAGACGGAAGUGACAGUUACAAGUCCCAUGGUGGAGGUAAAGUAAGUAAGUUUUAAGUCUUGAUAGUUUACUCUAACACAGAGAUGAGAUCUUAUUUAAAAGCAUGUGUACCGUCUAUUUUUUAAAAAUAUUGCAACAACUUAUGAUCCAUAGCUGAGUCUAUCCUUGCUCAGGGACGAGCAAGAGGUAAGCUUGGGGGAGUUUGUUGACGGUCCUUAAGUAUCAAAUUUAAUUAUCAAAUAAACAAAGAAAAGGAUCCAAAUGAAAUCAAGAUCCACACUUAGGGUUUUAUCUGACAGAAUUCCACGAGUUUUGGUGUUUGUCUAUUUCUGCAGGGGGUUAUCAGGAAAUACGGAAGAAAGGCGUACAUGUCGGGAUUACAUAGAGAUAUUAACGUGCUGCGCAAUUAACUUACAUCUAGAAGACUCUAGAAGCCACGAGACUGAAGCGGAGGCGAAACGGGGCCAGAGGCAGGGCGCCCGCCCUGUUCCCCUGGGCGCCCGCCCUCUCCAGGAGUCCAAUCAGGACUCUGCUUCGCGGGAGAUCUCCACCGACCUAAAGGAUGAAUCUAAACCAUACAAUCUAUGUCGGUUUGAUCCAAGGGCCCAUAUUCACUUGAAGGGACUAUAAAACCAGACCCCUUGGCCCCUGGAGGAGAGAGCCUCUCAACCCUAAUUCAUUGUUCCAUCAAGGGAGAAGAAGCCUCUGAUCAAGAUUAGAGCCACCACAUCAAUUAGAUAUCUAGAUUAGCAUAGCUACAUAGGAUUAGAACUAGAAGGAGUCAAUCUUCGAUUGGUUUCCGGAUCUGUCAAGAGGAUUCUUGGUAAUUCUCUAAUUGUGCUUCUAAUUGCUUUCUAAUUAUCUUUGAUCUUCAAUAUUAUGAAUAUGACUUUGUUCUACUUCAAUAUAUUGCUUAUGACUUUGCUCUACUUGCUUAUAUUCAAGAUUAUAUUGUUCUUAGUUUAUCAUAGUUAUGUACUUGGCUUAGUUAGAUUGGAUCUAUAUACAUGCUUAGGAUCGUAUAGCGUUUAUCCAUCGGAUCCAUGGGUAAAUGAUAGAUAUUGUGUAGGCGUGGUGCUUAUACCGUAUUCUUAUAUAGUCCCCCUCUCGUGUAUUGGGCUGGCAGAGCAACAUUAUUACAGGGGAGUGAUUGCUAUGUUUCUCAUAUUCCUUGCUAAUAUCACUAUGCAUGGGCGUAGUCUUGUCUCGCAAUGAUUGCUAAGUAUGCUUGCACUAACUAUGAUAUGCUAGACUAUAUAGUUGAGAAUAACUUAGGGAAUAUUCUUGUAGUUCGUUCUAAUACCGUGCUAAUGACUUUCUAGAGUAUCUAAUUGAGGUGCUUAUCAUAUUUAUUAUGUGGCUAGAUCAGAUUAGUUAUCCUUGUCACUAUUAUUACUUCAUAUAUCUUUUAUGUGACACUCAUCCCUAUAUGAAGAAUUAGAUAUAAUGUUCUCAAUUAUACAUGCUACGAUAGAUACUCAAUCUCAUAUUCUAUUCUGUAAUCAUUAGUGAUGAUUGCUAAUCCCUUCCCAGUGGUAAAAAUAUAAAUAACGAUACCUGGAAUACUUCCCGGUUAAAAUGCUGCAUCGGUAUUAAUCUGUGCGCUUGUAGAUCCAAUUUAUUAUUUAUUUAGAAGAGCAAUUGCAUAUUUCAAUACCGCUUCUCUUAUAUCAUGCUGGGGAUGACAACUUGGCUUAAGUGGUGUGAGGGAUAGGUUUGGCAUUUUUGGCACCGUUGCUAGAUUUAGAACUUAGUCUACUUUUAGUAAUGAUGUUAAGAAUACCCAACAAUCACCACUCCUAAACUAGGCAACAUGCUUCAUUUAAGAGAUGUAUGAAAUGACUCAAAACCUAAAUAUAUACUAUAACAAACAAAGGUAGCAUGAGAGCAUAAUAGAUGUUUUACUCAAAUAGUGAUGAUAGAGCAUGAUUAUUGUUUAGCAAAUUGAGCAUAUCAUAUAGGUAGGGACAACCAAGAUGAUGUAGCAACAUGAAAAAGAUGUAUCUAUGGAAGCAUAUCCCCCAAGCUUGACUUUUGCAACAAUCAAGAUUGGAUGAAAGUAAUUCAAUGUUGCAUAAUGAUUCGUUAGACAUACCUUGCAUUUGUUACUCCUUCGAUCUUUUCCUCCAAACCUGGAAGGUUAGUGACAAGAAUACCCGAAGGAAUAUUUUCAUAAUUAUAAUGCUAUGCUCAAUUAACAAGGGUAGCAUAGUAGAAAGAUGAACACUCAUGUCAUGGCCUAAAUAGUCCUUGUUUUAGGACACAAAGCUUGUCCUUGGGAAACCUUCAAGAUUUGGUUUGGCGAAGUGGUUUCCCUUCCAAUACCACUCUAAGUGUAUUAUUCACCACACCGAGAUCUACAAUAUUUAUGGUAAAGAUAUGUGUCUACAACCACCCUUUCAAAAACUUUAGGAACAAGGAGCAUGAGGGGGUUGAAGAUCUCAUGUGGGGCAAUGUUAGAGAGAUUAAGUGAAUCAGGAGAUUUUUCAUAUGAGCAAGGGACAGAUGGGGUGUUGAUGAAGUCUCUUCCAAGCUCAUUGAAGUCUCCAUCAUUUUCUACUUGCAAGAGUGACUCGACAUGUAUGUCCAAAAAUUCCCUUGGGUCAUCUCUUGAAUUGAUCUUAUCUAAUGCCUUGUCCAUCCAUUCAAUGGCAAUACCAUAUAGGUUUUUAAUGCUCUCUAGCCAUGGAAGUUGCGCUCCUCAAUCUUCUGUAUGGCCUUGAUGAUUCCUAUGCAUGGGAUAUCUAGAUGGAUUUCUAGAAUCAUCAGGUGGUUUUGGAGAAAGAGCAUAGAAUAAGCCAUAGUGAUCAAGGAUGGGGUUAGAGAUGUGUUCAUAUUCAAUAUCUAAAGUUGCCAUAGAAGGGGAGAGGAUAAGAGUGGCUUCUAGAUGGCUUCCUCUCCUUCUAUGGCAUCAUUUGACAUGCCAUCCUUGAGUCUUUCUAAUUGUCCUUCAAAGGGAUUGGUUUUGAAAAGCUUUCUAAGAGAUCUCUUUUGAAGAUUCAAACUAUAAGCACUAAAAGAUCUCAUAUGAAGCUGGAAGUUUAAACUCCUCCCAAAAUCUUUUUGAUGGCAAAUUUGGAGUACUACUGGUUUGGCAUGGAUAGCUGAAUCAUCGAAUUGGAAUGUUUGCAAAGUGCCUACAAAAACAUCCUCUUCUAGUUUGGGGGAUGAUUCCUUCUCUAUCUCUAGGAUUUUAUAAUGCAAGGAGUGUGUCCACUCAUAAGGACAAACUGAAAGGUCCUAAUAUGGCUAGAGGGGUGAAUAGCCUAUUAAAAAAUUCUACAAACUCACUAGACCAAGAGGUUAGUAAAUAAAAAAGCAAAGCUUUUUGCUCUAGCUCUAAAGGAGUGUUUGCAAGCCACCUAUCUAAUAAUUCUAGUUCAUAUGAUCACUAGGCAUACAAGAGCUAUGUUGCUACAAAGCUACACUAGUGAACUAUGUUACACAAGGCAAGACUAGCAACUAAACUAGUUACACUACGAUGCAGUAAGUAAAAGGAGAGAAAGAGAUAUUUAUACCGCCGUGUAUGAGAUGAACCAAUCACCAAUAUAUGAAGAAUCAAGCACCGGGAGAAUGUCAAUCAAACACAAUUGAGACACCGAUGUUUCUCCCUAGGUUCACAUGCUUGUUGGCACGCUACAUCCCCGUUGUGUCGACAAAGACUUGGUGGUUUGGUGGCUAAGAGGUGUAGCAUGAACCUUGUCCUCACUAAGACACCGAAAGAACCUACCCACAAAUGAUGUAGCUUAAUGACAUGCGCAAUCCACUAAAGUUGCCUUUGGCUCUCUACCGACGUAGGCACCAAACCCCUCACAAUCACCGAGAGAUGGCCACGAACAAUGACCAACUUGUGCCAAUGCUCCUCCGCUACUCCAUGCCAUCUAGCUGGCGGCAAUCACCAAGAGUAACAAGAAAACCACAGCCCAAUCAAUCCCUAAGUGCCACUAGAUGUAAUCAAUCAAGCAAAUGCACUUGGAAACACACCCAAUCUCACAAAGAUGGUUAAUCUAUGAAGGAGAUGGGUGGGAGGUGUUUGCUUUGGCUCACAAGGAUGUCAAGUAUGCUAGAAUGCUAAGGGAGUGAGCCCCAAGCCAACCAACACGUAUUUAUAAGCCCCUCAAACAAAUAGAGUUGUUGGCUCUAUCAUUGGGCAAAAGACAGGACCACCGGACGCUCAAGCAGGUGCCACCAGACGCUCAACCCAUGCAUCCGGUGCUCCAGAUGCGGCCACGUGUUUGCUACUUGAACCUCACGUGUUGAACUCUAAUGGUCAUAUUUGAACCACCGAAUGCAGUCAAGUAGAUAUCGGACGCGUCCGGUGCACACCGGUCAUGUACGUAGAGAGGUUUGCAAAAACGCAGGAGCACUAGACUCACACCACCGAACGCUCCCUAAGCGUCUAGUGCUUUCAGUCAGAAACACCUACUGAAGACAAGUCACACCGGAUGCAUGAACAGGGUCUAGCCUGCGUCCAGUGCUGAGCGUCCGAUGCUCUACCCUAACAUCGCUAGAUACUGAUAGCACACCGGACACGCAGGCUCAUCGUCUGGUGCCUGCGAACUGAGCAUCCGGUGAGUGUUCUUUCAGAGAGAAACACUCCAGUGACUUCUCCAAACUUUCCACCGGCGCAAUAGAAAAUAUGCAUUUCAUUUUGGUAAUUGAUGACAACCCUUUUACAAAGACUUUCAAUAGAAAUUUGAAAGCAAUUGCUCCCCCUACAUAUGUGCUAAGAGUUUGGAUUUGAAAGCUUGCACAUAUUGCUUGAAUAGAAAAUAUAGGAGUCAAUUUCUACCAAGUGAUGCUAAGGUGUAAAGAAUGGACCUUUAAAGCAUGAUACCAAUCGGAGUUGCCAAUAUACAUCAUCCUUAGCACCAUUAGUAACUAGACAUUCACAAAACUAGAACACCCGGUGAGAUCAACAUUAUAAACAAGGUUCUAGUACCACUUGUGAAACAACCAAAAGUCUAGUUACACUACCUAUGCAUGCUAGUUUUUCAUUGUAUCAAUCAAACCUACAACUAGCAUACACCACACAAGCAAGGUAUUGGAGAGAAAACUUCUAAAGCUAAUGCAAAUGCAAGCAAGCAUAUAUAAUGCGCAUUCAAAUGCAACAUACAAGUUUAUGAGCUUGCUCCCCCAACUUGUGUGCGCAAAGUUUUUAAUUGAUCCCCUUCUUUUAUCACUUUUACUCCCCUAUCUUUGUACUUCUUUGUAAUUUCUCUCCCCCUUUAGUAAAUAUUUGGGAAAUCCUCUCCCCCUUUGUCAUUAAUGACCAUAAAAGGUGAGCUCAAAUUUUAGAUAGGUUAGUGAGAAACCAUGUGAAGUGAGAUUAUUUUACCAAAUUAGUCCAAUCUAGAUUACUUGCCUAAGAUAUUUAACUCGAUUUGAUCCAAGUACAAGCUUUUUCACACCUCCAAAUAAGGGUUAUCUUGUACCAUCUUGAGUUAAACACUUAUAGCUCAUAUUCUGGAUCAAACACUAGGGUUGCAAGCCGAAAAACAUGUCAUAUGCUACCGCUAGAUCAAGUCAAGCAUAGAAGCAAUAGUGGUACCAUACAAGAAUCAAAUUCAUUUGAUUUGCCUGAAUGAGCCUAAGACAUGUAAGGAAUAACUAGAUGCACUAAGCAAGUCCUUAGCAUAGGAUGAAUGACAUGCCAAACAAUUUUACCUUCCUUUACUCAAAGGAGAGGCAUGUCAUAUAAUGGAGUGCAUCAACUCAUAUUUGAGACAAGUAUGUUCAAUUCAUUCCUUAGCUUGCAAAACCUCUUCUCAUCAAGUGGCUUGGUGAAUAUAUCGACAAGUUGAUCAUCAGUCCCUAUACUCUCAAUGCAAAUGUCCCCUUUUUGUUGAUGAUCUCUUAUGAAAUGAUGGCGGACAUCUAUAUGCUUUGUUCUUGAGUGUUGAACCGGAUUGUUGGUGAGCUUCACGGCACUUUCAUUGUCACAUAGCAAUGACACUUGUUUGAAAAUUAUUCCAAAGUCCUUUAACAUUGCCUUCAUCCAUAGGAUUUGUGCACAACAACUACCGGCCACAAUGUAUUCUGCUAUGGCGGUUGAUAGUGCAACACUAUUUUGUUUCUUGGAUGACCAUGAAACAAGUGAUCUUCCCAAUAGUUGACAUGUGCCCAAUGUGCUUCUUCUUUCAACUUUGCAUCCCACAUAGUCCGAAUUGGAAUACCAUAAACCAACAUUUUGUGUAUGCUUCAAGUACCUCAAUAUUCCCUUUGUUUCCUUCCAAUGACUUUCUAUUGGUGAGGCUUGAAAUCUUGCACACAUGCAUACACUAAACAUGACAUCAAGUCUGGUCACAUAGAGUAGGCUUCCAAUCAUAGACCGAUACAACUUUUGGUCCACCAUAUUUCCACUUGUGUCACUAUCUAAGCUUCCAUUUGCUCCCAUUAGAGUGCUAAUUGAUUUUGUAUCACCCAUACCAAACUUCUUGAGCAUGUCUUUUAUGUACUUUCCUUGACUCACAAAUGUGUCAUUCUUCAAUUGCUUGAUUUGAAGACCAAGGAAGUAACUAAGCUCUCAAAUCAUUGACAUCUCAAAUUCAUGAGCCAUCAUGUUUCCAAACUCUUCACAAAAUUCUUGGUUCGUUGAUCCAAAUAUGAUAUCAUCAACAUAUAUUUGCAACAGAAACAUGUCCUUUGCCAAUCUUCUUGGUGAAGAGAUUGGUGUCAACCUUGCCCAUCUUGAAACCUUUAGAGAGUAAGAAAUCUCUCAGUCUCUCAUACCAUGCUCUAGGUGUUUGCUUCAAACCAUACAAUGCAUUUCUUACCUUGAAAAUAUGGUUGGGUUCCUUGUCAUCUUCAAAACCGAGAGGUUGCUCAACAUAGACUUCUUCAUUGAUAUAGCCAUUGAGAAAUGCACUCCUCACAUCCAUUUGAUAUAACUUGAUAUUAUGUGCACGAGCAUAGGCUAACAAGAUCCUAAUUUCCUCCAAUCUUGCAACCGGGGCAUAUGUUUUGUAACACCCUUGGUGUUAAGCAUGCACUUAGUCUCAUAAAACAUUCAUAAGCAUUCUCAUCAAGCAUGGCAUAAGCAUCACAUCCCAUGAGCACAAAAAUAAUUCAAGUGUUAUUUUAUGUGCUUUAUUUCAGGUGAAUUAAAUAUGUUAAAAAUAUUAUGAUUGCUUCUAAAAAUUGUGAAAUAUUCAAAUUAGGUUGAAAUAUGUGUUAGAAGAAUUAAGAGUAAUUUUGUGAAAUUUUUUUUGGAGCCAUAGGAUUUGAGAAAUGGAAUUUAUACAAAAAUCCCUAAAAUGAAUUUAUUUAAAAACCUAGAACUAGUUUUAAUCUGUGGUUCAAAUUCUAUUUGGAAUUUGGCUUUGCUUAUUAAAACAAAGUUGUAGGGAAUUUUAUGGGAGCAAUUCUUCUUUUUACCCCAGCCCCUGAAAAGUUUUAUAAAAGCUUCAAAAGUCUCAUUUAAACUUUUUGGAGACAAGGAAUUCAAAAAAAGGAAAAGGGGACAGGCGCUGCUGGGCCGACCCGCCUCCCUUUUGGCCCAGCAAAGCCACGCGGCCCAGCUCCCCCUCCCCCUCUCUCCCACGCGCGGCGCCCGCCUUCGUUCACCCGACGCCGGCCACGUGGCUGCCGUAUGUCGGCGUCGUGGACGCGCCGCGGCCGACCGGCUAUAACCUGGUCGGGACGCCGCCCCGCGCCUCCAGGCUCCACUCUGUCGACCCGCUCCUCUCUCCUUCUUCUUCCUCCACUCGCGAGCGCCGCAGCCGUAGCAGCUCCGCUGCAGCGCCAUCGCUGGAGAAGCUCCGCUGCUCACCGCCGGCCACGCCAGUGCCCCAACCUCAGCGCUAAGACCACCAUCGCACUCGUCUUCGCCGUGGUAAGCCUAUGCGAACGCUCUACCGAGGUGAGAGACUGCCGUGCGCCGUGAAUCGCUCUUCGGAGUUGCUCCGACCUCACCGGAGAGCUCCGCCGCGUCGGAUCCCGCUAGUCUACCUCUUUUCGCUCGCUUUUGGGUGCUUUAGGUCCGUAGUUCGAUGAGGAAGCUCGGAAGAGCACUCGCGCGUGUUCUACCGCCCCGGAGCAGCCUGGCCACGGCGAGCAGCGCCGCCGUGCCGCCAUGCAUGCUCGCGAGGGUGCUCCGGUCAUCCUCAGGUCGAUCCAAGGGCACCCCUCGGUGCGCCUCGCUGCGGGAGCACGCUGGUGCUUACCCCGUGGCCGAAGAUCUCGCCGUCGGCGAGAGCCGGCCGACCGAAGUCAGCCGGAGUGCUGCAUGGCUGACCCAUGGGGGCCACGACCCCUAGGUCCCGCCUGUCAGCACCUCUGCGGGUGUGGACCUGGGUAGAUCUAUCGUUUUCCGUUGGUUUUUCUUAAAUAAAGGUUUUUUAGAAUUUGUUUAAAUCUUGUAAAUUUCAUAACUUGAGUUCUACAGCUCCAAAAUUGGUGAAAUAAAUUUUGAUGAACUCUAUAAUUCCAGAUCUAUAGCUUGGUGUGGUUGCAUGCCAUGUUUGGACAACUUUUCUGUAUAUAUAUAUUUAAUCCAUGUUUUUGCUGAAUUUGGAAAAUACAUAGUAAUUAAAAUAUAGCUCAAAAAAAUAUGAAAAUUGUUUUGUUGGCUCUACAUGGGUGCUUAGGCUCUGGGAAAAUAUGUUACACAUUAUUUGCUGUAUGAAUUAUUUUAUGAUGAUUUAAAUGCUUGCAUGGCAGUGGUUUAUGAUUUUUAAUAAAUAAUUGGAUUAUGCAAUUAAUCUGGAAAUUUUUGUGGGUAUUUCUUAUGUUAACAAGUUAAUUAUAAAAAUGUGAAAUCUGCUGUUUGACACUUAUACCACAGUAGGGUAUUUAUACUUGAUUAUAUGGUUUGAUCUUGUGAUUUUUUGUAGCUCAAAAUAAAUGUCCAAAUAUUAUGAGAAAUUUAUGGUAGACUCUAUGGUUGACUAGUGAUCUGCUAUAAUUUAUGUGGAAUUUAUGGAUAAGCAGAAAUAUAUGCUAUUUUGUAGGCCUAAAAGUGGAUAAAUAAAUCAUGAAUUUGUUAUACAUAGAUUAAAUGAAGUAAAAUGAUGGUUGGUGUAUCUUGGAAGCAUCAUGUGAGUUUGCUGGUUAACCAUGAAUACAAUUUGUAGAAGAGGAUGCAAUAGAUGCUUAAUUCAAUUACAUGUUCUUGGAUGAUGUUGACUACCUUAUAGAAAUGACCACCUAUAUCAUCUAUGCACUAUGUCAUAGUCAUCUGUUACCCACUUGCAUAAGCAUUGCACCCCGGGCAUCUCGCACUCCACUCAUGAGCACACAUGCAUCAUACAGGCUCGCAGGAGAAUGAGGUGGGACCCGAGGAUCAAGAGGAGACCCAGGACCAGGAACCUCUGGGAGGACCGGAGCCCGGAGAAGAGCUGCAGGAGUGCCCGGAUCACAAGCCGAGCACGUUUGAGAAAGGCAAGCCCCGGAGCAUUCUAAGUCUCUCUAUUUCUCGCUAACAUAAAUGAUAUAUUAGGCUUGUUUUACUAUGUUGCAUUUAAGUGAUAGGAAUUGCUUGAUACCGUUGAUGCAUAUGUACUCCUUGAUAUCACCACUUGUUUACCUACCUUGUCCUUUGUAGAUAGGAACGGAAUCUACGCUUAGCUUGCUUAGUCCGGUAGAAGUUAGGUGAUUUCCUGUCACCUGCGAGAUAUAGGUGGAUACCUGCUUGAUUAGCGGUGAUUGCUUUGGGAAAGGGUAACCAAGUGUGGAAAGGAAUUUGAGACCGGGCAGAGUCUUACGGUGGGUUGAUCAUAGUGCCCCCACCUGUGUCGAUUAAGGACCGAUCGUUGAUGGCCCUCUUGUCAUGUUGAACGCAUGCCCCACACUUAGCUAGAAGGAUAAGUCGUUCCGACCGCGAAGCCUGAACACUAUCCGGGCCGGGAGUCAAGCCGCCAUGCGCUAUAUUGGUGAUGGUUGAGGAGAACGACGAGGGCGCGGCACGCAACCUUGGUAUACCUUGGAUACCUCGGUCGCCGGAACGGUCCUCGGGUACUGGCGGUGCCUGCCGAACCCGCAAAUUGGUCCUAGAUAGUGUAACACGGUGAUCUGUAGCUCACUUGAUCAGUGAGUGUGGUUUAUGUGGGGAAUAACUCGCCAGCUGGUUAGAAAUCGAUUCGAAUCGCCAUCGCUCCUGGAUAGUGAGCACUUGACAUGAGCUUCGUCCUCGUAGUAAGGACUAUGGAACACUUGGGUUAUAAAGAUAACUGAUUUAUGAAUGCUAUGAUGAGGUACCAUCAUAAUACUACCUUUGGUUACAAUAGUACAGGUGCAAACCUAGAAAAUAGGUAAUGAUAAUUGUUGACGGUCCUUAAGUACUAAAAUUAAUAAUCAAAUAAACAUGAAAAAGGAUCAAUAUGAAACAAAAAUCUAGAAUUAGGGUUUUAUCUAACAGAAUUCCACGAGUUUUGGUGUUUAUCUAUUUCUGCAGGGGUUUAUCAGAAAAUAUGGAGAGAAGGCCCACAUGUCAUGUUUACAACGAGAUAAUUACGUGCCGCGCAAUUUUCCUCAAUCUAGAAGGAUCCAGAAGCCACGGGAACGAACAGAACGCAAUUCGGGCUCGGGAGUUGGGCGGCCGCCCACCCCCCUUGGGCGCCCACCCUGGCCAAGAGUUGGAUCAGGACUCUCUCUCAGGACAACUCUCCACCGACCUAAAGGAUCAAUCUAAACCAUACAAUCUAUGUCGGUUUGAUCCAAUGGCUCACGUUCACUUGAGGGGACUAUAAAACCAGACCCCCUGGCCCCUGGAGGAAGAGAGGAGAAAUCAUUAUUCAGAGGUAGCCAUCAAAGUUAGGAUUUAGAUCUCUCUCCCACAGAGAAUUAGAAUUAGCUACUCCCUAAUCCUUCAAGUUUAGAGGUUGAUUAGAUAGCAAUUAGAGAAGUAGAGCACUACGCUCUGGAUUCGGAUCUUCGGUAAUAAAGAUUUGUAUUAUUCAUAUCUUUCUCUAAUUCUAUUGUUCUAAUUGCAUUAUGUCUCUAAUUAUUAUGUUCUUAGUUUGCUCUAGUUCUAUAUUUGAUAUAGUUCUAAUUGAUAAUGAGUUUAUGUAUAAGUUUGCAAAGCGCUUAGCUCUUGACGCGAGGGAGUUAGGUGAUAGAUCACAUGUGAGCGUGGUGCUUAGAUGUUAUUUAUCUGCAAAUGUAUCCUAUUGGCCGAGUCGUGUGGUAGUUCGUGAUAGUGACAGCUUCGUUGAUUCUUAUAUAGUCCACCCUCCAUUGAUAGGACAGGCAGAACCGGUAUUGUGGAGUAAGUCAUGCGAUGUUCUGAUUUACUUUAUCAAUGUUCCUUAUACAUGAAUGAAGAGUCUUUUAUGCUAUAUAUGAUCUUGUAGAUAACUAGAGUAGAUUAUAACUUAGUAGUUAGUAGAUAACUUAGAAUCCAUUCUCUAGCUAAUCCGACAUCACCUACAUAUAUGAGGAGUAGUCUAUUUUCUAAUCGCUGUGUUAUCUACCCAUGAACUUAUACUUUAUUAUCAUUAUCUUUAUGGUUUACCCCCUGCUAAAGUAAGUGACUGUGUGACGAGUUUCUCAUUAGUAAUCAUGUUCUUGCAAGUUUAUCUCUAGUCUAUGCCUUGAUAGAUUUUGCCCCUUUGAUUUAAUUCCAUCUUCUUUAGAUCCCUAGAGCAAAAUUAUAAAUAACGAUACCUGGAAUACUUAUCCUGGUGAAAUGCUACAAUGAGGUGUUUUAUCUGUGCGCUUGCGGAUAGAAUAGAUUAUUUUCUAAAGAGCCUUUACAUUUAUAAAUACCUUUGUACACUCUGGCGCCAUGCUAGGGAUGACAACCUAGUAUCUAAGUGGUGUUAGCUAGUGUCAACAAGCAUUUCUGGCGCCGUUGCCGGGGAGGUAUACGAGUCUCCGGAAUAAGUCAUUAAAGGGAACAAAAGGGUAAUAUUAAGGAAAGUCAGAAAAUCAAUCAAGGUUAUUCAUAUAAAAUAUUAGACUAGACUAUAGAGAAAUAAUUGCAUAAAACAGCUACUAAGUGAGAAAUCAUAACAAGGCACCGCUGCUUUGGCAGGUUCACCCUGUUGUUUUUCUAUGUUUAUAUUUUUAUACAGGGUAUAACAGGAUUGACUUUGGGUACAUUCAACUCUUCAUCAUCAGAACCAAAGCAAUCAAGAGAAGAAGAAGCUAGCUACCAAUUGCUGAAGCUAUGGCACAAAAGACCUUGCAAGAAUUCUCUGCUCCAAGCCUUGAGAACAUUCUAACUGGUCCAAGAUUUGCAGUAGAAGAAGGAAUACCUGAGUUUGAGCUCAAGUCAAGCCUCAUCAAUUUGGUACAAGCUACACAAUUCAGUGGAAAGGCACAUGAAGAUGCCAGUGCACACUUGCAGAAUUUCUUAGAGAUUGGAAGCACAAUCCACAUCAACGGAGUUGACAAAGACGUCAUACUGCUUCGCCUUUUUCCAUUCUCACUAGAAGGAAAAGCGAGGAAGUGGUUCUACACUCAUCAAGAUAACAUCAACAACUGGACGAACUUGUCAGAUGCGUUUCUAUCAAAGUUUUUUCCUAUAGGCAAAACAACUGCCUUAGGAGGAAAUAUUGUCAGUUUCCAACAGCAGAAGACAGAAGCCAUUUCAGAAGCAUGGGAGCAUUUUCAAGGAUACAUAUCAGAUUGUCCUCACCAUGGAAUGGCCACAUGGUUACUUAUGCAGACCUUCUACCAUGGAUUAACCCAGAAGGCUCGUGAGUGCCUAGAUGCAUCUGCUAAAGGAUCAUUCUUGGAGCUUACAACUGGAAAAGCAGAAAUACUUUUGGAUAAGAUAGCAGAAAACCAAAGCUGGUUCCAAGAUAAAGCUCAACAUUGUCAUCAAACUGAAGAAAUACCAGAAGAAGUAAAUGCAUUAUCAACUAAGAUGGAAAAUUUGCUCCAUUGGAUUGACCAGAGGGCCAAGUUCAAAGAAGAUCAAAGGGCCAUUGAGACAGCAUACAAAUAUCAACCAACUUCGAGUCAACCCAAUAGCAAAGGUAUGAAUUCAGGUAAUACUGUCAAGCAACUUUCAUUAAAAGAGAUAAUUGCUCAACAAACCAAAAUUAAUGAUGAAGUUAAACAAAGGCUAGAUACAAAUGAAUCAUCUCUAAAAGAUAUAUAUAAUAAAAUGGAUUUUCUACUAACUGCCUUUGAUGAGCAAAACACUCUUAAUAAAAGGGUAGAGCUUAAAUUAAUAAAAUUAUCUGCUGCACUGCCUGUUGCUACUAACAUUGAGCAGGUAAAGAAUAUAACUACUAGAGGAGGCAAAGCUACCAGAGAUCCACCAUACCCAAAAGAGAAACAAAGAACAUCAGCACCAGUGCAACCAGCAGUGAUAGAAGAAGAAAGCCCAGUUGAAGCAGAAGAUCUGCUACAACCACCAAGAACUGGAGAAAUGAGGAAAGAUUUUUACGACACCAACUAUUUGCCAUUUCCCAGAAGAAACAGAGGACUGCAGUCGGAUGAGCAGUUUGGUAAGUUUGUAGAGGUCAUUCAGAAAUUAUAUGUCAACAUACCUCUACUUGAUGCCAUACAGGUACCUACAUAUGCAAAGUACAUCAGAGAAAUUCUUAACAAGAAGAGACCACUGCCCACCACUGAGGUUAUCAAGCUGACAGAAGAAUGUAGUGCGGCCAUCCUCAACAAACCACCAAAGAAGAAGGAAGAUCCAGGAUGCCCCACUAUUGACUGCUCGAUCGGAAACCAAAACUUCAACAAUGCACUUUGUGAUCUCGGAGCAAGUGUCAGUGUGAUGCCAGCAUCAGUCUACAAAAAGCUUGAGCAUGCAACCUUAGAACCAACAUCAAUGUGCCUACAACUAGCGGAUCAAUCGGUUCGACACCCGUUGGGCAUCGCCGAGAACGUUCCAGUCAAGAUCAGAGAUUUCCUGGUGCCAGUAGAUUUCGUAGUACUGGACAUGAGUCCUGACUCGAAAGUAUCCAUCAUCCUUGGAAGGCCAUUUCUGAGCACUACCAAUGCCCACAUUGAUGUUGGGAAGGGAGAAAUCAAGUUCAACAUAAACGGUCAAGAAGAACACUUCACAUUCAAACCCAGACCAGAGAGAGACUCUAUAGUGAAGGAAGUUCAUGAAGAACCACUAGAGACACCAUCUCCGGAGGAAGAAAACUCAGAAGAUUAAAAGAAUUGGAGGUCCAGCUUGGGGGACCUAAAAAUCCCAAACCCUCACCGGGAGGUAAAUCGGUAUUUAUCCGCAUUAUUAAUUUUCUCAUAUUUAAAUUCUUGCAUAAUUAAUUCUUGCAUUAGUCAUAGCAUAAUUAUAAUAAUAAAAAAGCCCCAGAUAAAUAAUAUUCGUGGUGUGUAACAACCCAUAUUUAUUAAUUAUCGUGGAGGCACAAAAAUAUUUUCCAUUAUCAUUUUAAUUAAUUUUCAAUUCUCAUAGAUUUUCCUGCAUUAUAUUUAAUCAUAUUAAUCUUCUAGAAGCAUGACCCACACUCUUUGGGUCCCACAUGUCAUACACUUCACCUCACAUACAUCCCAUCACAUAAUUUCAUCCACCAAUAUGUUUCCACUCACUUGACAUCUUUCCACCGUCCAACCACCACCAACACAAUAUUAUUCUGCGUGAGAUCAAAGCAAGGAAGCAAGUGGAGGAGGCACACCCAGGAUGGACACCACAAGUGGGUGCCCGCCCACCUACCUUGGGCGCCUGCCCUGUUCCCUGCUCAGCUUAUAAAAGGCCACCUCCAACUCCCCUUCUCUUCACACAAACACUUCAGAAAACCACACAAAUCUCAGUUUCCCGAGAAGGAGUUCUUGUAGUGAAGAGAAGAGAGUAGAGAGAAAGAGGAGAGUGGAAGGGAAGGUUGGAGUUCUUUUGAGAAAGUGAUUGUCACCUAGCAAAUAGUGAUCCCGCUGUCCAAGCGGAAGUAAAAGUUGUUUAGGGGGAGGCUCUACCAAAAUAGAAACUUGUCUUGAACGAUUAACCCCUGGACUACUGACACUCCGGACAACUAACCACUAACAUUUUAUCUCACAUUUUCCACUAGUUGUGUUUUUGCCAACUUUUGUUUGCAGGAUGUUUAAGAAGGUGAAGAAUGCAGGGAAGGCUCUUAAGAACAUUGGUACAAGGAGUUCAACCCGACACUCCUCACAGCCAUCAGAGAUGAGCGUCGAUCCGACACCCACACAAGCUCCAUCAUCUUCAUCAGGUCAACAAGUUAAGGUUCUUCUCAAGAUAGGAGACCUUGGACUGAAGACCCGAAGAGAGAAGGAAGUUUAUCAGCAAUUGAAGAACAAGGAUUUCAUUCACACCCCUACUAUCGAUCCAAUCCUACUACGAGAAACAGGUAUGGACACUGAAUUUGACUUAAUUUUUCAGAUGAUGGGUUGGACAAAUUUUUGGAAUAUAACUGAGCUGGGUUCUCGUCUUCUCACCCUCGAAUUUCUUUGCACUUUACAAUACUAUGAGGGGGGAAUUGUUUUUUGGACGUUCAAACAGGAAAUUAUGUUAUCUUGGAGAGAGCUGAGCGACCAUCUUGGUUUCUCUUCAAGAUGCAUCCUGAACAUUGACUCCGAUUUACCCAACUUUGAGAGACACCAGUUUUGGAGAGAAAUAUCUAGAGAUAAUUAGCCCGAACUAGUGACAUGGAACACCCCACUCUCAGGAUGUUUCACAAAUGGCUUGGGUACAAUCUUUUCUAUCGCGAUGAUAUUAGGAAAGUAAGAGUAGGAGAUUUACAACUUUUAUAUGCUGCUAUUAGUAAAGUACCUACUUCACCUGUUACACUAUUAGUUUCACAUUGGCUUAGUAUACCUAGUCUUCAGGGACCAGUAGGAUGUACUUCACUUAUCACUCGUCUAGCCACUAAUCUUCACUUACUAGAAAACUCGUCAUUGGACUUCAUAGAAGAAUUAAGAAUUUAUCAUGGCUAUGACACAUUUAGACAAGCUCGGAUGUUAAAGAAAGAGGGAAAUAUAAUGUAUAUGCUAUAUGAUGAUAAAGGCAAGAUUCGGUUACCUAACCCGAACCUUGGCCUCUACGCUGUGCAAAACUUUUUGAUUGAGAUUGCAUCAACACCAGUGAACCAGAGAACUCCACAGCGAGUGGCAUCUGAAAGGAUAACCACUCACCGAGAACGCACUUGGUAUGGAGCUGAUCCUGGACCAGAAGAAGCAGCGCACCUGCAUUAUUGCGAUUACAAUCCACGAGUCCUUCGAGACCCAUGGGAUCGUCAUGCACAACCACAACAGCCAACAGAGGAGACAUGGCCGGAGAGCAAAGAUCACCAGUGGACAAACCCGCCUUUUCAUACGGGCAGGUACUCCACUGAUCCAUAUGGAGCUUCAGGAUCCAGACCUCCGCCCUAAUUUGAUGCAGGACGAUACUCCGACGCCUCCUACGCCUUCACGAAUGACUACUAUCAAGAGGCCGGUGCUUUCUUCACUCGUACCGACAACACCCUCCUCGACAUUCAGAACACGCAAGCAGAACAUGGAAGACUCCUGGAAGAGCAACAAAAAUGGAACCAGAACCAUGCCGCAGCAGUAGAAGAGCUGAGACAAGAUACAACAACAAUGAACGACAACAUCACAACCAUGAUGCGGUUCUGGAACAUCGGGUAAGACCGACGUCAACAUCCAGCUUGGGGGAGUUCCUCCUCAAUUUAUCAAGUAUUUGCUCUUCUUAUUUAUUCUAUUCUGUCUUAGUAUUUAAUUUAUCUUAAAAGGAAAAACUUAGAAAACCAAAUAAAUAUUUUCUUGCUUUAAUUCACUGCACUUUAAUAAACAUGAAAACAAAAUAAAAAGAGUGUGUAGAUAAGUGUGCUUUAUUUUCCUGCUAAGUUUAAUCUCUAAAAAAAAUAAAAAAAAUAAAGACCAAAAAUAUGCAUGAUGGAAAUGAUGAACAGUUGCUCUGUUUGCUUACUUACAAGUACCUAGCUUUUAUAUUAGAAUUCUUCCAGGAAUUACUAAAACUAAAAUCACUAUCUUUGGGAAGCAUAAAACUAAAGUCUAGGUAAGAGAAAGGCAUGAUAUAAAGUUGAGCUGCUGUUUAUCUUGUUCCUACUACACUAAAUUCUGGAGAUUUAUUUUUGAAAACUUGCAAAUCACAUGAUGAGUUCCUAGCAUAACAAACUACCUACCAUAGCCAUACUUGCUAUAACAUCUUUUACUAUAUUUACAUUGAGUUUGAUCGAGCUGUGUUGACCCUUAGGAGCUUUUCAUGUGGUUAAAUUAAGAUAUUCACUUGCACACAUCUACUACACCAUUCAUCAUCAUUCAAAUUGCUAAAAAUAUUAUCACUCACUGUCCCGCGUAUUGUUAUUUUCUCUCUCUAAAAAGAUUCAAUGCAGAAGAGGCAUGGGUUAUGCAAAAAUAUAUACGAGGAAAUAAAAAGGGGCAAGUGCCCGGGAACCUCGAAAAAGAAAGAAAAAGAGUGAGACGAGAGGUAAAAAUGGACAAGUGUCCGAAGUAGAAUUAGGGGUACAAAGAUGCCCACUUGAGCGGAAAAAAUGGACAAGUGUCCGACAGUAGAAUUAGGGGUAUCUACUACCCACCUGAAAAAAAAAGAAAAGAGAAAAAAAAGAAAAGAUAGCCCAUGUUCUCCCAAAGCAAAGAUCAAAAAGAAAGAAGAGAGAUAGCAAUAUGAGGAGCAAUGAGAACCAAAUUUUAUUAUCACUUAUGCAUUUCCACCAUCAUUAACAUUUACUCCACCACACAUGCACAUCUUGAUUUAAUUAUAUGCUGAGUUUCUUUGGAUCCAUGGCUCGAUUAGACAACAUAUGUAUGAGCUGUUUGUUUUUUUUCACUCCUAUGAGCUCCACUUAAAUAUUUCAUUAGCUAUAGGUAAGUGACAUUAUGGUAAGGAUCCACAAAUACCACAUAUAGAGAGACUUGAGAGAAUCAUUGCUGGGAACUCUGAGUUUUAUUUUGAAAACUUAUGAAAAACUCUGGAACAAAAGUGAAGUAUAGACAAGAGGGAUAGUGCUUGACUUAACUAUUUUGUCUUUCGAUUACUUAAGAUUUAAGUGCAGGUACUAAACUCCAUAACACUUCACUCGAAUCUGGAAGAAUUUUUAUGUAAAAGCAUGUGUGCCUGUCAGGAAAGAAAACAUCAAAGCAACUCCUGAUCCGUCUUAGUUUAGCUGUUUGCUCAGGGACGAGCAAAGGGUAAGCUUGGGGGAGUUUGUUGACGGUCCUUAAGUACUAAAAUUAAUAAUCAAAUAAACAUGAAAAAGGAUCAAUAUGAAACAAACAUCUAGAAUUAGGGUUUUAUCUGACAGAAUUCCACGAGUUUUGGUGUUUAUCUAUUUCUGUAGGGGUUUAUCAGAAAAUAUGGAGAGAAGGCCCACAUGUCAUGUUUACAACGAGAUAAUUACGUGCCGCGCAAUUUUCCUCAAUCUAGAAGGAUCCAGAAGCCACGGGAACGAACGGGACGCAAUUCGGGCUCGGGAGCUGGGCGGCCGCCCACCCCCCUUGGGCGCCCGCUCUGGCCAGGAGUUGGAUCAGGACUCUCUCUCGGGACAACUCUCCACCGACCUAAAGGAUCAAUCUAAACCAUACAAUCUAUGUCGGUUUGAUCCAAUGGCUCACGUUCACUUGAGGGGACUAUAAAACCAGACCCCCUGGCCCCUGGAGGAAGAGAGGAGAAAUCAUUAUUCAGAGGUAGCCAUCAAAGUUAGGGUUUAGAUCUCUCUCCCACAGAGAAUUAGAAUUAGCUACUCCCUAAUCCUUCAAGUUUCGAGGUUGAUUAGAUAGCAAUUAGAGAAGUAGAGCACUACGCUCUGGAUUCGGAUCUUCGGUAAUAAAGAUUGGUAUUAUUCAUAUCUUUCUCUAAUUCUAUUGUUCUAAUUGCAUUAUGUCUCUAAUUAUUAUGUUCUUAGUUUGCUCUAGUUCUAUAUUUGAUAUAGUUCUAAUUGAUAAUGAGUUUAUGUAUAAGCUUGCAAAGCGCUUAGCUCUUGACGCGAGGGAGUUAGGUGAUAGAUCACAUGUGAGCGUGGUGCUUAGAUGUUAUUUAUCUGCAAAUGUAUCCUAUUGGCCGAGUCGUGUGGUAGUUCGCGAUAGUGACAGCUUCGUUGAUUCUUAUAUAGUCCACCCUCCGUUGAUAGGACAGGCAGAACCGGUAUUGUGGAGUAAGUCAUGCGAUGUUCUGAUUUACUUUAUCAAUGUUCCUUAUACAUGAAUGAAGAGUCUUUUAUGCUAUAUAUGAUCUUGUAGAUAACUAGAGUAGAUUAUAACUUAGUAGUUAGUAGGUAACUUAGAAUCCAUUCUCUAGCUAAUCCGACAUCACCUACAUAUAUGAGGAGUAGUCUAUUUUCUAAUCGCUGUGUUAUCUACCCAUGAACUUAUACUUUAUUAUCAUUAUCAUUAUGGUUUACCCCCUGCUAAAGUAAGUGACUGUGUGACGAGUUUCUCAUUAGUAAUCAUGUUCUUGCAAGUUUAUCUCUAGUCUAUGCCUUGAUAGAUUUUGCCCCUUUGACUUAAUUCCAUCUUCUUUAGAUCCCUAGAGCAAAAUUAUAAAUAACGAUACCUGUAAUACUUAUCCUGGUGAAAUGCUACAAUGAGGUGUUUUAUCUGUGCGCUUGCGGAUAGAAUAGAUUAUUUUCUAAAGAGCCUUUACAUUUAUAAAUACCUUUGUACACUCUAGCGCCAUGCUAGGGAUGACAACCUAGUAUCUAAGUGGUGUUAGCUAGUGUCAACAAUAAUAUCAAACUUGAGCUAAUUAAAAGAAGAAAGGUUUUCUUUAGGCUAUGAUUAGUGGAACAAUGCUUUUAUGCAAAAAAAGUCUUAGCUACUCCCUCAUACAGCCUUCAUGAUCCUUGAGGAGUCUUUAUUUUUGGUUUAUGACGGGUAAGUCUAGCUGAGUACAUUCUCGUACUCAGGGUUUUAUUCCCAUGUUGUUUUGUAGAUGGUCAAAUGUAUUAUGGAUAUUGCAUCCUCUGCUUGUACCCAGCAGUGGGCGAGGACUAGACCAAGGGCGAUGGUCACUCUAACUUCUCUUGUGCUUUUGUGGGAAUGACCGAACUAUGGCACUGUAUCAAACUAAAUGUGUGUGUGUGUUACUUUCAAACUAUGAAGCUUCCGCUACUUGAGAAUUUGGUUUGUAAUAAUUUUUAAGUACUCCGAUGUGUUCGUUAAAUGAUAUGAACUGGAUGUAAUUGUGAAUGGUGACUGCUAAACUUAUUACGAUCUUGGCUGUAUGUGCGAUAUGUGGUUUGAAAUCCUUCGAGAUUUCACGAACUACUGGAAUUAUAUGGGCUUAUGCUUGAUGGUUUGACUGUGCAAAUGGUCACUAUUAGGCUUAAUCUCUUAUAAUUUGGAUGGUUCUGUUACAGCUGGUAUCGGAGCAAGGUUUAGCGAGUUACUAUGCAUUAGUACGUUCUAACUAAACUUAAACCGGUUUAAUAAAAGAUUAUUAUAAUUAAUGAUAAUCAAGGUGUCAAACUAAGUUUUUGGAAAACUAUCUGGUGUGCCAUUUGCAUAUCCUUUAUGCCCAGUUAAGGACUCUAAGGUGGCUAGUUAAGUACUGACUUGGGGGUUAAUGCAUCAUAUUUCUAUUUCAUCUCAUACGGCGUGCAAUGGUAUGAGUACCAUUCAUUUGAGUGGUAAUGUAUGGAUCAAUUCUUCCUCUACGCCUCGGUAAUUGGGAGCUGUGAGAGCAUGAUCGGAUACACUGCCGAUCUAGGGAAGUGUUGUUAAGGUGCUGUGUCAUGCACACAUGUUUGGUGUGCCUGGGAACAAUACCGCAUGUUGGGAGAUUCUGUCCUAAGAGGCGAUGCCGUCACUAGGGCGAUGAUGUGGGUAGUAACACGUCAUAUGCAUGGACGGGGUGUCUAUGUAUGUGGGGUGUAUAGUUUUAAAUUCUUGUUCUGCACUAACCACGUUCCCGCCUAGAACGCUAGUUACGUAUGAGAGAACGUUGUGUGCCACCGCAUAUACUGAUUAGUGUCAACUUUAUUUCUAAGUUUGUGAGAUCGUAAGUCUGUGCAUGCAUCAUGUUCAUUUCAUAUCAUUGCUUACUUCCCUCCCUUAAAGUAAAUUUGUCCCAAUUUUAAUUAAGUUAAUAAAAGGUACUCCUCAAUCUUACCCAAGGUAUUCCAUUUUCAGCAGAUGGCGCGCACUAGGCUCACCGCUCGCAAGUCCACUAGUGGGCGGGCCCCUCGCCAUCAGUUGGCAGCCAGGAGCUCGCGUCAUAAGAGCAAGUUCUUGGAGGAGUUUGGGAUGCCCACCUUGCUAUGGAGGGUGCUCAGUUCGUUGGGGUAUCUCGAAGGAAGGGAACCUCGUUACUAUUGGAACAAGGAGCAGCUUGGUGACGGGACCCUGGUUGGGUGUAUGAUUCCCAAGGUACCACGCCUUUCCACGGUGCCAGCAGAGCAGCUUUCGCAGUUCUGAGGGACCUCAUGGAGAGGUUUCCACAGGAGCUGGCCCACGCCUUCGCUGGGUGUUUCCCCGGGGUGACCCCUACACUUUGGUGUGGGAUCAGUCCGAGGUGAAUGUUGACGGUCCUUAAGUAUCAAAUUUAAUUAUUAAAUAAAUAAAGAAAAGGAUCCAAAUGAAAUUAAGAUCUAGACUUAGGGUUUUAUCUGACAGAAUUCCACGAGUUUUGGUGUUUGUCUAUUUCUGCAGGGGGUUAUCAGGAAAUACGGAAGAAAGGCCCACAUGUCGGGAUUACGUAAAGAUAUUAACGUGCUGCGCAAUUAUCUUACAUCUAGAAGACUCCAGAAGCCACGAGGCCGAAGCAGAGGCGAAACGGGGCUAGACCCUGGGCGGCCGCCCAGUUGGUCAGGGCACCCGCCCACCUCCUGAGUCCAAUCAGGACUCUGCUUUGCGGGAGAUCUCCACCGACCUAAAGGAUGAAUCUAAACCAUACAAUCUAUGUCGGUUUGAUCCAAGGGCCCAUAUUCACUUGAAGGGACUAUAAAACCAGACCCCCUUGCCCCUGGAGGAGAGAGCCUCUCAACCCUAAUUCAUUGUUCCAUCAAGGGAGAAGAAGCCUCUGAUCAAGAUUAGAGCCACCACAUCAAUUAGAUAUCUAGAUUAGCAUAGCUACAUAGGAUUAGAACUAGAAGGAGUCAAUCUUCGAUUGGUUUCCGGAUCUGUCAAGAGGAUUCUUGGUAAUUCUCUAAUUGUGCUUCUAAUUGCUUUCUAAUUAUCUCUGUUCUUCAAUAUUAUGAAUAUGACUUUGUUCUACUUCAAUAUAUUGCUUAUGACUUUGCUCUACUUGCUUAUAUUCAAGAUUAUAUUGUUCUUAGUUUAUCAUAGUUAUGUACUUGGCUUAGUUAGAUUGGAUCUAUAUACAUGCUUAGGAUCGUAUAGCGUUUAUCCAUCGGAUCCAUGGGUAAAUGAUAGAUAUUGUGUAGGCGUGGUGCUUAUACCGUAUUUAUCUGCGAUUGUACCCAAUAUGCCAGAUCAUGGGGUGGUUCGUGAUAGUGACAGCUUCAUUGAUUCUUAUAUAGUCCCCCUCUCGUGUAUUGGGCUGGCAGAGCAACAUUAUUACAGGGGAGUGAUUGCUAUGUUUCUCAUAUUCCUUGCUAAUAUCACUAUGCAUGGGCGUAGUCUUGUCUCGCAAUGAUUGCUAAGUAUGCUUGCACUAACUAUGAUAUGCUAGACUAUAUAGUUGAGAAUAACUUAGGGAAUAUUCUUGUAGUUCGUUCUAAUACCAUGCUAAUGACUUUCUAGAGUAUCUAAUUGAGGUGCUUAUCAUAUUUAUUAUGUGGCUAGAUCAGAUUAGUUAUCUUUGUCACUAUUAUUAUUUCAUAUAUCUUUUAUGUGACACUUAUCCCUGUAUGAAGAGUUAGAUAUAAUGUUCUCAAUUAUACAUGCAAUGAUAGAUGCUCAAUCUCAUAUUAUAUUCUGUAAUCAUUAGUAAUGAUUGCUAAUCCCUUCCCAGUGGUAAAAAUAUAAAUAACGAUACCUGGAAUACUUCCCGGUUAAAAUGCUACAUCGUUAUUAAUCUGUGCGCUUGCAGAUCCAAUUCAUUAUUUAUUUAGAAGAGCAAUUGCAUAUUUCAACACCGCGUCUCUUAUAUCAUGCUGGGGAUGACAACUUGGCUUAAGUGGUGUGAGGGAUAGGUUUGGCAUUUUUGGCACCGUUGCUAGAUUUAGAACUUAGUCUACUUUUAGUAAUGAUGUUAAGAAUACCCAACAAGCAUUUUUGGCGCCGUUGCCGGGGAAGGUUGAUUACUAAUCAGGAAUGGAAUAAAAAGAUUUUGAGUUAUCAUUCGCAUCACUAAUAUGAUUGAGCUUAUCUAUUCUAUCAUACAGUUUUACCCCGAUAUUUUUCUAUUUUAUCUUAUGCAGGGGAAUGUAUGAAUAGAAGACAUCUUCCAGGAAAUUUUGUUGACAAUCCUGAAGCAUUAUUCAAGAAGAUGAGAGCCAAGCUAAAGAAAUCAUCAACACUUCACGAAGAAGCUUCAUCCAAUCAAGAAGAUCACCGGAACUUGUCUUCAGAGUUCGAAGCCAUGGCGAACAAAUCAAUCCGUGAGUUCUCAGCUCCCACUACGGACAACAUCCGCACUGGACCUGCUGCAGAGAUCGAUGGUAACUUUGAGCUCAAGCCUGGACUUAUCAACAUGGUGCAAUCCAACCAGUUCUGUGGGAAGGCACACGAAGAUGCUAGUGCUCAUUUACAACACUUCCUAGAGAUUUGCAACACAUUCACCAUAGCAGGAGUUUCCAAAGACGCUAUACUACUUCGCCUCUUCCCAUUCUCACUGUUAGGAAGAGCGAAGCAGUGGUUCUACGCUACAAAGCAGAAGAAUACUACGUGGGCACUCUGCUCAACAAACUUCCUGGCUAAGUUCUUUCCCAUGGGCAAGACCAAUGCUCUCCGUGGGAAGAUUACAAGUUUUCAGCAACAAAAUGAUGAAUCUGUUUCAGAAGCAUGGGAGCGCUUUCAAGACUACAUCCUAGAAUGUCCCCAUCAUGGAAUGGAGAGUUGGCUACUGAUGCAGACAUUCUAUCAUGGGCUCAGCAACAGUGCCCGAGAGACCAUGGAUGCUGCAGCUGGAGGAGCAUUCUUAUCACUUACUAUACCACAAGCCACAGCUCUUGUGGAGAAGAUGGCGUCCAACCAAAGCUGGAAUGAAGAGAGGACCCAGACACGCAAGAGAGGUGGAGGUAUGCAUCAGCUGAAGGAGGUAGACAUGCUGUCUGCAAAGCUAGACCUGCUCAUAAAGAAGCUCGACGAUAGAGCUGGAGACAAGAAAGAAGAUAUGCACAUCUACGACUCUCACAUGACUUGUGAGGAGUGUGGAGACACUGGACACUCAGGCAACCACUGCCCUGAGAUGCUUGAGGAUGUGAACUACAUCAACAACAACAACAACUACUACUACAACCGUCCUCAACAAAAUCAAGGUUGGAAUCAACAGAGGCCUAACUACUCAGGUAAUUAUCAAGGUAACAAUUCUUACAACAAUAAUAAUAAUUUUCCACCUUUGAGAGAGUUAGUGUCUAAUCAAGGAAAGCUAAUGGAUAAUCUAUCUAAGAAAUUGGCGUCUAAUGAUAAAAUGCUAGAAAAUAUAAAUAAUAGAAUGGAUAAUGUCUCUACUGCCAUCAAGAAUCAAAUUAGCUUUAAUAAAAUGAUUGAAUCCCAGUUAAAUCAAAUAGCUGCUGCUGUUCCUACUACUAACCCCGGUAUACCAUCACAACCGGAAGGAUUAGAAUCUGCAAAUCUUAUAGACGUGUUUGAUGCAGGUAAUUGGAGUAACCCCGUCACUGAAUUUUGUACUGACCGUCUGCCGGUCAAGAGAGGCGAUCCAGGACGCCCCGUCAUCCCGAUCUCCAUCGGCAUGGUGGACGUUCCAGAAGCACACUGUGACUUUGGCUCUAGCGUCAACAUUAUACCCAGGGUACUCUAUGAGAAAUUCUUUACAUAUCCUUUAUUAGAGACAACCAUGUGUUUGCAGUUUGCAGAUCAGACGAUAACUUUUCCAAAAGGAAUAGUGAGGAACCUUUGUGUCCGAGUUGGUACCUUGUAUGCCCCAGCAGACUUCGUAGUGGUAGAGACCGGAAAUGAUGAGAGAGCACCUAUCAUCCUAGGAAGGCCAUUUUUGAACACCACGGGAGCUAUCAUCUACGCCAGUGCUGCCAAGAUCAGUUUCUACGUCAAAGGGAAGAAGGAUACAUUUUUCUUCAAGAACAAGACUACACAAAUUCCAGAUCAAUCCAGACGUGAAUCAAGGAAGAGGACCAACAGGAGAAACAGGAACAAGCAAGUGUGGACCGAGUCAGCUAAGAUGGUCACUGUAGUCCAUGGAGGCCAAGAUCACCAACUUAAGUCACCGUUUUUGACCAAGAAGGACGACCCAGGAAUGCCAAGCAUUUACUGCUCCAUAAAUGGAUACAACUUCUACAAGACGAUUUUCGACACCGGAUCGGGCGUCAACAUAAUGGCCGCAAUCACCUAUCGGCUCUUGUUCGGGACCAUGCCACUAAGACCAACAUACAUUCAGCUCCAGAUGGCAGAUCAGACAUUUUGAGAAGUUCAAGGAAUAGUAUCUGAUGUCCCAGUCAAAAUAGACGAUCACUUUGUCUACACAGACUUUCAAGUUGUUGACAUGGGAGAAGAAGAGUACGAUCCACCCAUCAUCCUUGGAAGACCGUUCCUCAGCACCGUUAAAGCAAUUAUCUACAUUGGAACCGGAGAAGUCCAUAUGCACUUCCCCUCAGAGAAGGUACGCCGUUUUUUACUGACCCUAACUAUAUCAUUGAAGAAUCUAAGCAGGUCAGAAAGAGACGCAACCGCAACCAGAGAAGGCAGAUCAUCAAGGACGGAUGGGCAGACUAUGAAGGAGAAGUUGUAAGGUCAGAAGACUUGGAGUUUAAACAGAAUUAUCCAGAGGAGAUUGAAGCACCGAGUUAGGUAUGGAAAAUGAAGAUAACUAUACAAGAAGAGGAGGCACUGCCGGAAGUACCGACUACGCCACCCAACGAACCUCAGGACGAUUAAGAAAUUGGAGAGUCCCGUUCGGAGGACUUAAAAAUACCGAACGCCUUGCCAAGAGGUAAACUUGGUAGUUAUCCUUUCCAUUACAAUUAUUUCAAAUUAUUUCAACUAGUUUACUAAGUAAUCAUGUUCAUGCUAUCUUAAAAAGAAAAUAAAAAUAUGAAAAACACUAAGCUCCAUGUGAGUAUACGAGUGGCAUAAAACCCAUUAGUACAUUCACUGUGGUGGCAUAAAAAUAAAAAUAAAUAUUUUUCUGCUUUAUAAAACAAAAAUAUAAAAACAGGGAGUAACAAUUAUUAAGGAGUCUCAAGAUAAUAAAGGCUAGAUAUUUAUGCUAACACUUAAUCAGUUCCACAAGCUUUGUUGUCUAUUUGAGCUCCACAGAAUUUAAGAAGACUAGCAGACGGAGGACAUUCUAAUCGCUGUCAGAAUGCUGCUGACUUUCAAAUACACCUCUGCCACCUGCUAGCUACAUUAAGAGAAAUUACGUCAAAAUUCAGCUUGGGGGAGAGCACCCCCAUUUACAUCGAUAAGUAUUUCUAUCUAUCUUUAUACUUAUAUUAUUUUAGAAUAUUAAAAUACAUAUAAACUAUGGGAAAACCAAAUAAAGAUUUUAUGCUUAUAUAUGUCUUUUGCUUAGUGUGUUUAAUAAAUAAAUAAAGUGGCUAUUUUAAUCUGUAUCUAAACAAAAACUUAAGCAUGGAUAUGAUAAAUAGUUGCUCUGUCUAAUUUGCAAAUUUUAAGUUCUCUCUCAAGUUUAGAUAUAACUGUUAUAAUUUAAAGCUUGCCCUAGACCUAAACUUGUGGGAUGAAAACUUGAUCUGAAGUCUAAGUUGUUAACGGAUACGAUAUAGGAAGGUUGAGCUGCUGUUUAUCUGUUCCUAGAGAUUCUAGAAUUCUGGAGAAUUUUAUCUUUGAAAAUCUUUAAAAUGUUGCAUGAUGAGUUCCUGUAUGAUGAGAGCUUAAAUUCCUACCACAGCCAUAUAUACAUGCUUGCUAGACUUUGAGCCACACAUUUAUUAUUUACUGCUUAUGAGCAUUGAGUGUGGUCAAGCUGUGUAGACCCUUAGGAGCUUGUCAUGUGGUUAAAUCAAGAUUUCACUGGCACGUUCACUCAUAUAUGCUACUUCUACUCCGGAAGUACCAUCCACAUAUAUCCAUCCAUUUCCAUCUCCAGAAUCACCCAAAAAUAUUCUGCUCCUAAUCCGGGAGAGAAUAACCAAAAAUAUUUUUGUUUCCCCUUGUGAAAUAAAUGCUCAAGUUAUCUUGUUACUACCACUUGCUAUAUUAUCUCAAGAGAUGAGUGCUCUAAAAAAAGAAGAAAAUAAAAAAAUAAUACGAGGAAAUAAAAAGUUGCAAGUGCUCGGAACCUCGAAAGAAAAGAAAGAGUGAGACGAGAGGUAAAAAUGGACAAGUGACCGACAGUAGAAUUAGGGGUGCAAGAUACCCACCUGAGAGACAAGAAAAAGAAGAGCAUCUCAUUCUCCUCAUAAAGUUUCAAAAGCAAGGAAGGUAUGUAUCCCCUCAAAAGAGCAAAGUAGAAUUAGACUUCCACCACCAUUGUUUUCACCAUUGUUAUCACCAUCAUCACCAUACACCAUUCAUUCGCCACACAUGCACAUCUUGAUUUGGCUUAUUGAUUUGUUUCUUUGGAUCCAUGGUUUGACUAUGCAAUAAAUGUCUUGUGAGUAUGUAUACUUUAUCUCCCACCUAUGAGCUCCAAAUAUUAAAGCCUUAUUAGAGUAGGGUGAGAGAGAAGGAAAUGUCACUAUGCCUUAUACCACAAAUACUACAUAUCUUGAGAGAAGGCAUAUACCAUUAAUGCCUUGGUAAGGAUCUAAAAAUACCACAAAAGAGAGAUCUGAGAGAAUCAUACAAGGAAUCUCUGAGUUUUAUUUGAAAAUCUGCAAAAACCCCAGAGCUAUAGCUGAUCAAGAAUAAGAGACAUGGCACUUGGCUAGAGUGUUCUAUCUUUUAACCACUCAAGACAGAAGUGACAGUUACAAGUCCCAUGGUGGAGGUAAAGUAAGUAAGUUUUAAGUCUUGAUAGUUUACUCUAACUCAGAGAUGAGAUCUUAUUUAAAAGCAUGUGUACCGUCUAUUUUUUUAAAAAUAUUGCAACAACUUAUGAUCCAUAGGUGAGUCUAUCCUUGCUCAGGAACGAGCAAGAGGUAAGCUUGGGGGAGUUUGUUGACGGUCCUUAAGUAUCAAAUUUAAUUAUCAAAUAAAAAAAGAAAAGGAUCCAAAUGAAAUUAAGAUCUAGACUUAGGGUUUUAUCUGACAGAAUUCCACGAGUUUUGGUGUUUGUCUAUUUCUGCAGGGGGUUAUCAGGAAAUACGGAAGAAAGGCCCACAUGUCGUGAUUACGUAAAGAUAUUAACGUGCUGCGCAAUUAUCUUACAUCUAGAAGACUCCAGAAGCCACGAGACCGAAGUGGAGGCGAAACGGGGCCAGACCCUGGGCGGCCGCCCAGUUGGUCAGGGCGCCCGCCCACCUCCUGAGUCCAAUCAGGACUCUGCUUUGCGGGAGAUCUCCACCGACCUAAAGGAUGAAUCUAAACCAUACAAUCUAUGUCGGUUUGAUCCAAGGGCCCAUAUUCACUUGAAGGGACUAUAAAACCAGACCCCCUGGCCCCUAGAGGAGAGAGCCUCUCAACCCUAAUUCAUUGUUCCAUCAAGGGAGAAGAAGCCUCUGAUCAAGAUUAGAGCGAGCACAUCAAUUAGAUAUCUAGAUUAGCAUAGCUACAUAGGAUUAGAACUAGAAGGAGUCAAUCUUCGAUUGGUUUCCGGAUCUGUCAAGAGGAUUCUUGGUAAUUCUCUAAUUGUGCUUCUAAUUGCUUUCUAAUUAUCUUUGUUCUUCAAUAUUAUGAAUAUGACUUUGUUCUACUUCAAUAUAUUGCUUAUGACUUUGCUCUACUUGCUUAUAUUCAAGAUUAUAUUGUUCUUAGUUUAUCAUAGUUAUGUACUUGGCUUAGUUAGAUUGGAUCUAUAUACAUGCUUAGGAUCGUAUAGCGUUUAUCCAUCGGAUCCAUGGGUAAAUGAUAGAUAUUGUGUAGGCGUGGUGCUUAUACCGUAUUUAUCUGCGAUUGUACCCAAUAUGCCAGAUCGUGGGGUGGUUCGUGAUAGUGACAGCUUCAUUGAUUCUUAUAUAGUCCCCCUCUCGUGUAUUGGGCUGGCAGAGCAACAUUAUUACAGGGGAGUGAUUGCUAUGUUUCUCAUAUUCCUUGCUAAUAUCAUUAUGCAUGGGCGUAGUCUUGUCUCGCAAUGAUUGCUAAGUAUGCUUGCACUAACUAUGAUAUGCUAGACUAUAUAGUUGAGAAUAACUUAGGGAAUAUUCUUGUAGUUCGUUCUAAUACCAUGCUAAUGACUUUCUAGAGUAUCGAAUUGAGGUGCUUAUCAUAUUUAUUAUGUGGCUAGAUCAGAUUAGUUAUCUUUGUCACUAUUAUUAUUUCAUAUAUCUUUUAUGUGACACUUAUCCUUGUAUGAAGAGUUAGAUAUAAUGUUCUCAAUUAUACAUGCAAUGAUAGAUGCUCAAUCUCAUAUUCUAUUCUGUAAUCAUUAGUGAUGAUUGCUAAUCCCUUCCCAGUGGUAAAAAUAUAAAUAACGAUACCUGGAAUACUUCCCAGUUAAAAUGCUACAUCGGUAUUAAUCUGUGCGCUUGCAGGUCCAAUUCAUUAUUUAUUUAGAAGAGCAAUUGCAUAUUUCAAUACCGCGUCUCUUAUAUCAUGCUGGGGAUGACAACUUGGCUUAAGUGGUGUGAGGGAUAGGUUUGGGAUUUUUGGCACCGUUGCUAGAUUUAGAACUUAGUCUACUUUUAGUAAUGAUGUUAAGAAUACCCAAUAGUGAAUGCUCUAGAGAGGAGUGCAGACGAGGACCAGCACAGUGACAGUGCAGCUAUGAGUGCUAUGUUCACCUUGAUGAAGACCUAUGGGGGUCUGGAGAGUUGUUUGGGACGCUUGUCUGGGUCCCUUCUCACAGUUCAGGAUGAAAAGCGUCAGCUGCAGCGUGGGUUUGACAAUGAGGUUGAGAGGUUGCAGGCAGAGUUGGCCCGCAUGACCCGAGAGAGAGAUCCGGCGGUCCAGAAGAAUAGUGAGCUGAGGCAGGACCUGCUUGCAGUGAGAGAGCAGAGGGACAGGGUGACUACUGCUCACAGGAACUGCGAGCGCAUGCUAGUUCGUGUGCUUGGUCAGAGGAAUGAAGCCUGGCACGAGGAGGACACCCUGAGAGCCCGACAGCUAGAGCUUGAGCAGCAGCUAGCCAAUGCCAAGGAGUACAAUGAGAACCUGCAUGAGGAGAUCCACCAGCUGCAUAACCAGCUCCACCCUCACCACCUACCUGGAGCAGCCGAGUUAGACUCUGAGGAUGAGAUGGAUGAGGGCCCAGAGAUGGGGGCAGCUGCUAGUGGAGAUGAGGACGAGGAGGGCUCUGGCAUGGACAGCGACCAUAGCUAGCAGAUGCUAGGGCUCUAGAGCUAGUCCUUCUUCUUUUGAUGUUGUUGUUGCAUGGCAUGUCUUGUAAUCUUGGAUCCAGGCUGUGUAAAACUUUAUGUGAUUACGCUAAAAGUCCAGUGUAUGUAUGCUGGCAAUUUUGGGAUGUAUGCGGACCUCGUUGCUUGGAUGUUAAGUAAUUCGUUAGUGAAGUUGUGUGUGGAUGAUGAAUUGUUGUGCCUCUGUUUAUUGUGCAAAUUUAUUUUCCUCAGUAAAUUCAGUACGGCAUAAUUCUACAUAUGUCUACCAUUGAUGGCAACUCCUAACGACUGCUUAUCAUUGACGUAUGCAGAUGGUGCAAACACGUGGCGGGGGUAACAGCAACCCCGGACUUGGAGCAGGUACUUCUGGAGGUGGGGCUCAAUAGAAUGAGGACAGAGCACCAUCACCACCACCACCCCCUCCUCCGUACACUGCGACGUGUUUUUCGUGCAGUUUCUGGGGAGCCAACGCAACAUGGAACAGAUGCAGCGCAACAUGGAAGAAGCCCUGCGCAAUAUCGCUGACAAUACUCGCCGUGGGGAUAACCAUGGCGGUUGUGAAGCCAAUCAGUACAGCUAUUUCAAGGACUUCAUGGAUACCAAACCACCAGUCUUUAAGGAGGCCUUAGAACCGCUCGAGGCAGAUGAGUGGAUCAACACCAUGGAGUAAAAGUUCCAUCUUCUUCGGAUGACUGAAGAACUUAAGGCUGAGUAUGCAGCGCAUCAGUUGCAGGGACCUGCUGGGAUUUGGUGGUCCCAUCAUCGUACCACCUACCCAGAAGGGACCCCAAUCACCUGGAACCGCUUCACCACCGCUUUUCGGGGAAAUUACAUUCCUCCGGGUGUGGUGGAAAUGUAGGUUGGGGAGUUCAUGAGGCUAUCUCAGGGAACGAAGUCUAUGAAGUAGUAUCUACACGCCUUCAAUAAUCUUGCUCGUUACGCCCCCGAGUUUGUGAACACGGAGGCCAAGAAAAUCGCUAGUUUCCAAAGAGGCUUGAGCCUGAAGAUGCUGAAGACCAUGGGUAUUGGAACCCGGGCUACCUUCAAUGCUUACAUCAGCGACUGUCUGACCCAGAAAACAAUAACGACAACUACAGUGCAUCCAAGUCUCAUAAGAGGGCUUUUGAAGCUGGGUCAUCUCAGUCUAGGGCACCAGUGGCGGGGCGACAGCCGUAUCGUCCUCCUGCCCCAGGUGCUAGGUUCCGGCCACCGCAGAGAAGGAACACCGGGCAUCCAAUGCAGCAGAAGCCGUACAAGGUGACAAUAGCUCCUACCAAGCCAAAGCAGUUUAGGCUGCGGCACCUGCCGCCAACAACAUGACCAAGGGGCCAUGCUAAAACUGCCACAAGAUGGGGCACUUUGCUAAGGAAUGUCCCUACCCCAAGAGGCAGCACACGACCUACCCAGCUCGAGUGCACCACACCUCGAUAUAGGAGAUCCCGGAAGGAGAACGAGUUACAGCUGGUAUGUUUCCUGUCAACCAACAUCGUGCAGAUGUUUUGUUUGAUUCUGGAUCAUCGCAUUCAUUCAUGAGCCAAGCAUUUGCACAAAAGCAUGACCAAACAGUUACAGAUCUGGGUUAUGGUUAUCGUAUCAGCUCAGCAGGGGCAGAUGAGUUGACAAAUAGAGUGGUCCGAGGGGCAACCCUGGAUAUAAGUGACCGAGUGUUUCGAGUAAAUCUGGUAGUCAUGCCUGGAUUAGUUUUGGAUGUUAUCAUGGUCAUGAACUGGAUGAAAGAGUGGGAUGUUGUCAUAGAUACUGGGAAGAGGGUGUUAUCGCUCAGAGAACCUCAGGGCAGUGGAUCUUUCCAAGCACCUCUGCCCCAUCGCCUUGACUUUGCUAGCAUCUCUUGUGCUACACACGUAGUUCCACUACCACAGAUCCCCAUAGUCUGUGAGUUCCCUGAUGUUUUCCCUGAGGAAUUACCAGGACUUCCCCUAGAUAGGGAAGUAGAGUUUGCAAUAGAGUUGAUACCAGGUACAACACCGAUAUCUAGAAGGCCGUACCGGAUGCCGCCAAACGAACUCGCUGGGUUGAAGAAUCAACUAAAGGAAUUGUUAGACAAAGGGUUCAUCCGGCCAAGUUCAUCGGAAUGGGGUUGUCCGGCGUUGUUUGUGAAAAAGAAGGAUCAAUCGUUGCGCAUGUGCGUGGACUAUCGUCCACUCAAUGCGGUGACAAUCAAGAAUAAGUAUCCACUGCCAAGGAUUGAUAUUUUGUUUGAUCAGUUGUCCAAGGAAAAAGUAUUUUCCAAGAUAGAUUUGAGGUCUGGGUAUCACCAAAUCAAGAUCUGUCCGCAAGAUAUCCCGAAGAAUGCUUUUCCACCAGAUAUGGGUUGUAUGAGUAUCUUGUCAUGUCCUUUGGGUUGACAAAUGCUCCUGCAUACUUCAUGUAUCUAAUGAAUUCGGUCUUUAUGCCAGAAUUAGAUAAGUUUGUUGUGGUGUUUGUCGAUGAUAUUUUGGUUUAUUCAGAAAAUGAACAAGAUCACGCCGAGCAUUUGAGAAUCGUGCUACCACGACUGCGAGAGCUUCAGUUAUAUGCAAAGUUCAGCAAGUGUGAGUUCUGGUUGAAGAAAGUUCCUUUCCUGGGGCACAUUCUGUCUGAAGAAGGGAUUGCUGUGGAUCUGUCAAAGGUACAGGAAGUCAUGGACUGGAAGGCACCAACUUCUGUCUCGGAAGUUCGAAGCUUUCUUGGCCUAGCCGGGUAUUACCGCCGUUUCAUACCUGACUUCUCCAAGAUUGCUAAGCCAAUGACCAAUUUGCUACAAAAAGAUCAUAAGUUUGUCUCGACGGAAGGGUGUGAGCUAGCCUUCCGCACCUUGCGAAAGUUGUUAACCACCACUCCCGUUCUAGCGCAACCCAAUAUCGGGAAGUCUUUUGAUGUGUUUUGCGACGCAUUGAAAAGUGGCUUAGGAUGUGUGCUGAUGCAAGACGGUAGAGUAAUAGCUUACGCUUCACGACAGUUGAGAAAGCACGAAGUCAACUACCCAACUCACGACCUCGAGUUAGCAGCAGUGGUGCAUGCCUUGAAGAUCUGGAGGCACUACUUGCUGGGAAACAAGUGUCAUAUCUACACAGAUCAUAAAAGUUUGAAAUAUAUUUUCACUCAGUCCGAGCCGAAUAUGAGGCAACGAAGAUGGUUAGAGGUGAUCAAGGACUACGAUCUGGACGUCCACUAUCAUCCAGGCAAAGCUAAUGUGGUAGCAGACACUUUGAGUCGCAAACCGCACUAUCAAGUGGUUCAGCCGUUGUUUGAAGAUGGGUUCAAUCUCAUGCAUCCCGAAGUAUUAUGUCACAUACAGCUCAGUUGUUCACUUGAAAGUCAAGUCAUCGAAGGUCAGAAAGCAGAUAAGGGUAUUUUCCACAUCAAAAAAAAGAUCAAAAAUGACCCAAGGACUCAGUUCAGAGUUGAUGAAAGAGGGGUAUUGUGGUUUCAGCACCGGCUGGUAGUUUCAAAGAAUCGAGAACUAAAGAAUCGCAUCAUGGAUGAAGCACAUCUCUCCAAGGUUUCUAUUCAUCCUGGCAGUGGUAAGAUGUAUCAAGACCUGAGGUCUCACUUUUGGUGGACUAAAAUAAAGAAAGAAAUAGCCGUAUAUGUGGCCCAUUGUGACACGUGUUGCAGAGUCAAGGCUAUACAUAUGAAACCUGCAAGUCUGCUGCAACCAUUGUCAGUUCUAGAGUGGAAGUGGGAAGAGGUCAGCAUGGACUUUAUUAUAGGUUUGCCAACAACACGAAAGGGGAAUGACUCGAUUUGGGUAAUCAUAGAUCGAUUGACCAAGUCGGCUCAUUUCGUUCCAGUUAAGAACACAUACAGACCUCCCGAGUAUGCCGAUAUAUAUAUAGCUGAGAUCUUCAAGUUACAUGGCAUUCCCAAGACCAUCAUAUCAGAUAGAGGACCACAGUUCACUGCUCAUUUCUAGGAGCGAAUGCAUAAGAGUUUGGGGACUAGUCUGAUAAGAAGCACAGCGUAUCAUCCCCAAACCUCGGGUCAAAUGAAAAGACUCAAUCAAGUACUAGAAGAUAUACUGAGGGCUUGUGUGUUAUCGUCCAAGGGAUCAUGGGAAUCGUGGUUGCCUUUGGCUGAGUUCUCAUACAAUAAUAGCUAUUAAGAGAGUAUCAAGACGACCCCGUUCGAAGCUUUGUAUGGUCGAAGAUGCAGGACUCCGUUAAACUGGGUUGAACCUGGUGAAAGGAGAUACUAUGGUAUCGACCUCGUGAACGAGACUGAGAAAAAGGUGCAAAUCAUACAGCAGCAUAUGAAAGUGGCACAAUCGCGACAAAAGAGUUAUGCUGAUAAGAGAAGAAGGCCACUCGAAUUCAAUAUAGGUGACUAUGUUUACCUCGAGGUUACGCCAAUAAAGAAAGUUCAGCGUUUCCGAGUUCGAAGCAAGCUUGCACCCUGAUAUGUGGGACCGUACCAGAUACUAGAAAGAAAAGGCCUCGUGGCCUGCAAGAUUCAGUUACCUGAAGAGUUGAGUUCAAUAAAGGCAGACUUAGAAUAUAAAGAGCAGGCAGUGGGUAUCGUGGAUGCCAAGGAGCGGGUAACCCGAAACAGAGUUGUCAAAACAUAUAAGGUGGUGUGGAGUUAUCAUGAUGAUAGGGAUGCCACGUGGGAAACCGAGGAUUACCUAAAAACAGUUUACCCAAAAUUUCAUAAGAAAUGGUUAGUAACCCAAAUUUCGGGACGAGAUUUCCCUAAGGGGGGAAGGGCUGUAACACCCUAGGUGUUAAGCAUGCACUUAGUCUCAUAAAACAUUCAUAAGCAUUCUCAUCAAGCAUGGCAUAAGCAUCACAUCCCAUGAGCACAAAAAUAAUUCAAGUGUGAUUUUAUGUGCUUUAUUUUAGGUGAAUUAAAUAUGUUAAAAAUAUUAUGCUUGCUUCUAAAAAUUGUGAAAUAUUCAAAUUAGGUUGAAAUAUGUGUUAAAAGAAUUAAGAGUAAUUUUGUGAAAUUUUUUUUGGAGCCAUAGGAUUUGAGAAAUGGAAUUUAUACAAAAAUCCCUAAAAUGAAUUUAUUUAAAAACCUAGAACUAGUUUUAAUCUGUAGAUCAAAUUCUAUUUGGAAUUUGGAUUUGCUUAUUAAAACAAUGUUGUAGGGAAUUUUAUGGGGAGGAAUUCUUCUUUUUAUCCCAGCCCCUGAAAAGUUUUGUAAAAGCUUCAAAAGUCUCAUUUAAACUUUUUGGAGAAAAGGAAUUCAAAAAAAGGAAAAGGGGACAGGCGCUGCUGGGCCGACCCGCCUCCCUUUUGGCCCAGCAAAGCCGCGCGGCCCAGCUCCCCCUCCCCCUCUCUCCUGCGCGUGGCACCCGCCUUCGUCCACCCGACGCCGGCCACGCGGCGGCCGUACGUCGUCGUCGUGGACGCGCCGCGGCCGACCGGCUAUAAGCUGGUCGGGACGCCGCCUCGCGCCCCCAGGCUCCACUCUGUCGCCCCGCUCCUCUCUCCUUCUUCUUCCUCCGCUCGCGAGCGCUGCAGCCAUAGCAGCUCCGCCGCAGCGCCAUCGCCGGAGAAGCUCCGCUGCCCACCGCCGGCCACGCCAGUGCCCCAACCUCAGCGCUAAGACCACCAUCGCACUCGUCUUCUCCGCGGUAAGCCUCUGCGAACGCUCUACCGAGGUGAGAGACUGCCGUGCGCCGUGAAUCGCUCGUCGGAGUUGCUCCGACCUCGCCAGAGAGCUCCGCCGCGUCGGAUCCCGCUAGUUCCUACCUCUUUUUGCUCGCUUUUGGGCGCAUUAGGUCUGUAGUUCGAUGAAGAAGCUCCAAAGAGCACUCACGCGUGUUCUACCGCCCCGGAGCAGCCUGGCCACGGCGAGCAGCGCCGCCGUGCCACCAUGCAUGCUCGCGAGGGUGCUCCGGUCAUCCUCAGGUCGAUCCAAGCGCCUCGCUGCGGGGAGCACGCUGGUGCUUACCCUGUGGCCGGAGACCUCGCCGUCGGCGAGAGCCGGCCGGCCGGAGUGCUGCAUGGCUGACCCGUGGGGGCCACGACCCCUAUGUCCCGCCAGUCAGCACCUCUGCGGGUGUGGAUCUGGGUAGAUCUAGCGUUUUCCGUUGGUUUUUCUUAAAUAAAGUUUUUUCAGAAUUUGUUUAAAUCUUGUAAAUUUCAUAACUUGAGUUCUACAGCUCCAAAAUUGGUGAAAUAAGUUUUGAUGAACUCUAUAAUUCCAGAUCUAUAGCUUGGUGUGGUUGCAUGUCAUGUUUGGACAACUUUUCUGUAUAUAUAUUUAAUCCAUGUUUUUGCUGAAUUUGGAAAAUACAUAGUAAUUAAAAUAUUGCUCAGAAAAAUAUGAAACUUGUUUUGUUGGCUCUGCAUGGGUGAUUAGGCUCUGGGAAAAAUAUGUUACACAUUAUUUGCUGUAUGAAUUAUUUUAUGAUGAUUUAAAUGCUUGCAUGGCAGUGGUUUAUGAUUUUUAAUAAAUAAUUGGAUCAUGCAAUUAAUCUGGAAAUUUUUGUGGGUAUUUCUUAUGUUAACAAGUUAAUUAUAAAAAUGUGAAAUCUGCUGUUUGACACUUAUACCAUAGUAGGGUAUUUAUACUUGAUUAUAUGGUUUGAUCUUGUGAUUUUUUGUAGCUCAAAAUAAAUGUCCAAAUAUUAUGAGAAAUUUAUGGUAGACUCUAUGGUUGACUAGUGAUCUGCUAUAAUUUUUGUGGAAUUUAUGGAUAAGCCGAAAUAUAUGCUAUUUUGUAGGCCUAGAGGUGGAUAAAUAAAUCAUGAAUUUGUUAUACAUAGAUUAAAUGAAGUAAAAUGAUGGUUGGUGUAUCUUUGAAGCAUCAUGUGAGUUUGCUGGAUAACCAUGAAUACAAUUUGUAGAAGAGGAUGCAAUAGAUGCUUAAUUCAAUUGCAUGUUCUUGGAUGAUGUUGACUACCUUGUUGAAAUGACCACCUAUAUCAUCUAUGCACUAUGUCAUAGUCAUCUGUUACCCACUUGCAUAAGCAUUGCACCCCGGGCAUCUCGCACUCCACUCAUGAGCACAUAUGCAUCAUACAGGCUCGCAGGAGAACGAGGUGGGACCCGCGGAGCAAGAGGAGACCCAGGAGCAGGAACCUCUGGUUGGACCGGAGCCUGGAGAAGAGCUGCAGGAGUGCCCGGAUCACAAGCCGAGCACGUUUCAGAAAGGCAAGCCCCGGAGCAUUCUAAGUCUCCCUAUUUCUCGCUAACAUAAAUGAUAUAUUAGGCUUUUUUUACUAUGUUGCAUUUAAGUGAUAGGAAUUGCUUGAUACCGUUGAUGCAUAUGUACUCCUUGAUAUCACCACUUGUUUACCUACCUUGUCAUAGAUAGGAACGGAAUCUACGCUUAGCUUGCUGAGUCCGGUAGAAGUCAGGUGAUUUCCUGUCACCUGCGAGAUAUAGGUGGAUACCUACUUAAUUAGUGGUGAUUGCUUUGGGAAAGGACAACCAAGUGUGUUAAGGAAUUUGAGACCGGGCAGAGUCUUAUGGUGGGUUGAUCAUAGUGCCCCUGCCUAUGUCGAUUAAGGACCGAUCGUUGACGGCCCUCUUGUCAUAUUGAACGCAUGCCCCACACUUAGCUGGAAGGUUAAGUCGUUCCGACCGCGAAGCCUGAACACUAUCCGGGCCGGGAGUCGAGCCGCCAUACGCUGUAUUGGUGAUGGUUGAGGAGAACGACGAGGGCGCGGUGCGCAACCUUGGUAUACCUUGGAUACCUCGGUCGCCGGAAUGGUCCUCGGGUACUGGCGGUGCCUGCCGAACCCGCGAAUUGGUCCUGGAUAGUGUAACACGAUGAUCUGUAGCUCACUUGAUCACUGAGUGUGGUUUGUGUGGGGAAUAACUCGCCAGCUGGUUAGAAAUCGAUUCGAAUCGCCAUCGCUCCUGGAUAGUGAGCACUUGACAUGAGCUUCGUCCUCGUAGUAAGGACUAUGGAACACUUGGGUUAAAAAGAUAACUGAUUUAUGAAUGAUAUGAUGAGGUACCAUCAAAAUACUACCUUUGGUUACAAUAGUACAGGUGCAAACCUAGAAAAUGGGUAAUGAUAAUAUCAAACUUGAGCUAAUUAAAAGAAGAAAGGUUUUCUUUAGGCUAUGAUUAGUGGAACAAUGCUUUUAUGCAAAAAAAGUCUUAGCUACUCCCUCAUACAGCCUUCAUGAUCCUUGAGGAGUCUUUAUUUUUGGUUUAUGACGGGUAAGUCUAGCUUAGUACAUUCUCGUACUCAGGGUUUUAUUCCCAUGUUGUUUUGCAGAUGGUCAAAUGUAUUAUGGAUAUUGCAUCCUUUGCUUGUACCCAGCAAUGGGCGAGGACUAGACCAAGGGCGAUGGUCACUCUAGCUUCUCUUGUGCUUUUGUGGGAAUGACCGAACUAUGGCACUGUAUCAAACUAAAUGUGUGUGUUACUUUCAAACUAUGAAGCUUCUGCUACUUGAGAAUUUGGUUUGUAAUAAUUUUUAAGUACUCCGAUGUGUUUGUUAAAUGUUAUGAACUGGAUGUAAUUGUGAAUGGUGACCGCUAAACUAAUUACGAUCUUGGCUGUAUGUGCGAUAUGUGGUUUGAAAUCCUUUGAGAUUUCACGGACUACCGGAAUUAUAUGGGCUUAAGCUCGAUGGUUUGACUGUGCAAAUGGUCACUAUUAGGCUUAAUCUCUUAUAAUUUGGAUGGUUCUGUUACAUGUUUCACCAAAGUCAAGACCUUCAACAUGAGUAUAGCCUUGUGCUACCGAUCUUGCUUUGUUUCUUACAACUAUCCCAUCUUGAUCUUGCUUGUUGUGAAAAACCCAUCUAGUACCAAUGACAUUGUGAUCACUUGGCCUCUCAAUUAAUUCCCAUACUUGAUUUCUUUUGAAGUUGUUGAGCUCUUCAUGCAUAGCAUUAACCUAAUCAACAUCUCUCAAAGCUUCAUCUAUCUUCUUUGGCUCAAUGUGAGACACAAAAGAGAAAUGCUCACAAAAUGAUGCUAAUCUUGAUCUAGUUUGCACUCCUCUUUGAAUGUCACCUAUGAUAUGAUCUAAUGGAUGAUCUCUUGCAAUAUUUGUUGGUUGGAGUAUUUGCACUUGAUUGCUUGCACUUGAUUGAUCAUGAAAUGAUGUACUAGCUUGUUGAUCUUGCACUUGUGUACCACUUGUACUAGCUUGAUUUUUAUCAUGAGAAACACUAGCUUGCACAUUAGAGGUAGGAAGCACUUGAUCUUUGUCAUCUUCAACAUCAAUCAAUUCUCUAGGCCUUAAAUCACCAAUAUCCAUAUAUUUCAUUGCAUUGGCCAAUUGAGUGCCUCUCACAUCAUCUAGAUUCUCAUCUUCUUCUUGAGAGUCAUUGGUUUCAUCAAACUCAACAUCAUGCACCUCUUCAAGAGUACCACUAGCCAAAUUCCAAACUCUAUAAGCUUUGCUAGUAGUGGAGUAACCAAGCAAGAAGCCAUCAUCACAUUUCUUUUCAAAUUUGCUCAAUCUAGUGCCUUUUCUUUGGAUUAGUGUUGCCAACUUGUUUUUUGGCUUGACAUACACUACAAAGCUUGUCUUUCUCAAAUGUGACAUGUUUUAAGCCUCUAACAAGAUCAUGUUUGGCUAACUUGUUCAAUUGUUUUAUUCGAAUAUGACCAAGCCUUCAAUGCCAUAACCAACCCAUACUAGAUUUAGUGAGAAAGCAUGUUGAUAAUUCAGCUUCCCUAGUAUUGAAAUCAACCAAGUAUAGAUUCUCAUAUCUAAAGCCUUUGAAGAUCAAGUUCGAGCCAUCUACACUUAUGAUCUCUACAUCAUCAACUCCAAAUAUGCAUUUGAAACCAAGAUCACAAAGUUUAGCUAUGGAUAGUAAGUUGAAAUUCAAACUCUCUCUACUAGUAGUGCAUUGGAAAUGCUCAAGUAAUUGGAUAUAGCAAUUUUACCGAGCCCUUUGAGCUUGCCUUUGCCAUUGUCACCAAAUGUGAUACUAUCAACACCAUUGUCAUCAUUUAGAUUGAUUGAAUUGAACAUUCUUGAAUCACCGGUCAAGUGUUUUGUGCACCCACUAUCAAGCACCCAAUGCCUUCCUCUGGCUUUAUAGUUUACCUACAAAACAAAUCAAUGUUUCUUUAGUACCCUUACUUGUUUGGGUCCUUGGAGGUUAGUGACUAAGCUCUUUGGUACCCAAAUGGCCUUCUUCUUUGAACCCACAAUUGGUGUACCAACAAACUUAGCAUGCACACAAUUCUCAACCUUGGUAAGCACAUAACAAGAAUCAAAAGGAAUAUGUAACGUCCCGCCUCCAUGAGGCCAAGCCCGCUUACAUCUGGUAGCUUUUCUAGGAUAUAGUCAGUCCCCACACACCAAUACUAGUCUUUUCUGUACACUUUGUCCUCACUCGCGCGCACCUAGGAAGUACUUCCUGGUCGGUCACCCAUCCCUAAAUUUCUCCAGGCCAAGCACGUUUAACUUUAGAGUUCUUUGGAGAUGGGCUUCCGGAAAAGAAGUUGGAACUGGUUGGUAUGAGUCUUCUAUUAAUCCUAUUAAGCCCUGGGCCGGGUGUUACAGAAUAUAAGGUACAUUAGCAUUUUUCUUGUUCUUGUUCUUGUUCUUGUUCAUUUUAUUGCAAUUAAGCUCUAGGUGCCCAACUUGCUAGCAUUUGUUGCAAUACUGACCAUUGCUCUUCACAAAGCUAGGCUUGUGAGUUGCAAAGGCCACCUUGCCUUUCUUGGGGGUAUAGCCUAAUCCCUCUUUGUUGAGAGAAAACCUUUGGCUACCCAAGCACUUUAGCAAGCGGGCCUCACCACCAUAGGCUUUGCCUAGGGUGUGAGUGAGCUCAUCCACCUCUCUCUUGAGAGUCUCAUUCUCAACCUUUAGUGAUGUAUCACAAGUGAUACCGACACUAAAAGUAGAGGUAGAGUUGGUUGUGGUGGAUGAAGACCUACAAGAAGAGUUAAUGGCAACAAUAAUAGAUGAGUUGACUGAUUCUUUAAUUAAGUCAGAUGUUGUGCCCACAUCACAUGAUACAACAACCUUUUCCUUGAUCUCUUCUAGCAACAAGGAGUGAGCUUUUUCAAGCUUGGUGUGAGCCUUGCCAAGCUUCUUAUGGGCAUCCAGUAGCUUCUCGUGAGUAGCAUUGAGCUCAUCAAAGGAUUGCUCAAGUGCUUUUAACUUUUUGGCCAAUUCUUUGCACUUCUUGUUUUUAGAAUGAAUAAGUGAAUCGGCUUUCUCUAACAUAUCCAUGAGUUGUUCAUUAGUGAAUUCAUUUUCAUCAUCACUAUCACUAUCAAGUUUAUGUUCACUUUCACUUUCACUGUUAUCAUAUCGUACCUUGUGGACCUUGGCCAUGAAGCAUGAAGGAGUGUCGAAGAGUGAUGGCUUGUUGUUGAUAGCAAUACUAGCAAGCGCUUUCUUCUUGGUGCCUUGUCAUCAUCACUUGAAUCAUCAUCCGAAGAAGCAUCACUAUCCCAUGUCACAAUAUAGGAUCCACCCUUCUUCUUCUUCUUAAAGACCAUCUUUUUCUCUUUCUUUUCUUUCUUGUCCUUCUUGUUCUUCUUCUCAUGCUCGUCAUUGUCACUAUUGUAAGGAUAAUCCACCACAAUGUGAUCGGGGCUCUUGCACUUGUAGCAUAGCCUCACAUACUCUUUGUUCUUGAAAUGAUCUCUUCUCUUUCUUGUGUGAUAGCCCUUCUUAUUCAUCAUCUUCCCAAAUUUGCGGACAAAGAGUGCUAGUGCUUCAUCAUCACUAUCAUUAUUGGAGCACUCCUUAUCACAUGAUUCUUUCUUCUUGGCCUUGCCCUUGUUCUAGCUCUUGGAUGAAGAGCUAGCUUUGAAUGCUACGCUUUUCUUCUUCUUAUCAUCAUCAUUGUUCUUCAUUAACUCAUCAUCAUUGUUAUUGUAUUGAUCCUCGGUCCUGAUGUCUCCAAGUACCUAAUUGGGAGAUACAUUCUUCACACCGACUCUAAAGAUGAUUGUUCUCAAUGUCUUGAACCUCUUGGGAAAGUACAUCAAGAACUUGUGAAUGAAGUCUUCAUCCUUCACUUUCUCACCAAGGCCCUUGAGAUCGUUGAUGAUGACUUGGAGCCUAUAGAACAUCUCUGGCAUCCUUAGCAUAUAGAACAUAUCCGGCAUCCUUAGCAUGAGCGGAUGAGGUUGAUGGCAUCGCCGACAGCGGUCGGCCAGUAGAAACCUUGCCAGAAGGUGUUUCAAAUGAGAGUCCUUGGAGCUACGUGGUGGCCGCAAGCCCCUGAGUGUAUGUGCUUGAGGAGCAUCCUUCCUUCCUCGAUGGUGAUGCAUCGUUGAAGAAUCCCUAUUGGGCUUCGACGAUACAACUCCUUGUUGUUGCCAUAGAUGACUAUUUACGGUCGAUAACAUCUACUUUUAUUAGAACUUUAGACCCAAAGGAAAACAUUAAAACACACUAGUCUAGGAUUUAAACUAACAAUUUCCACAAGUUUUGCAUAUUUUGUAUUUUCUAGGGUCUAUUUCCAGAAAAGCUGAAAAGAGGUAUUCAAGUGCAAAAUAAACACGAAACUUAUCUGCCAUGAAAAGAUUAAGAAUGGUACAUGAGAAGACUCUAGAAGACACCCAAAGAGCCGGGGGGUUAGAGGCUGCCAGGUGGGGCUGACCGGCCCCACCCUAGCGCCGGCCGGUGCCCCAAUGUUACGGUUUCGGCCCCCCUUCUGGAAGCUUCCGCCCACUACUAACUUUUAUCCAUAUUGCAACCAUGUUUUGGCGCAACGGCAAGGUUUUGGUUGCAAAAGGGGUGGUCUCACAACCAUUUUAAGUUUUGGUUGCGAUAGACAGCAAUAUUGCCACCAAAAUUGUCUCGUUGCAAAAAGUGUUAAGAUCAUUGCGAUAGGGAAUUGCUAUCGCAACGAAAUGCCGAAUGGUUGCAAGAUGUUGUCCCUAUUGCCACAAAGUAACUGGUAUUGCAGUGAGUUAAAUUGACGCUGCAAUAGUAGAUUGAUAUUGCAACAAUUUUAAUUUCUGGUUGCAAGACUAGGCCUAUAUUGCCAUGGUGAGCUUGGCAUUGCGGAUAUAUGUAUGGGCGUUGCAAUACUAAAAUGAUAUUGCAACACUUCCAUCUUUUAGUUGCAAGAAUUUUAUACAAUUACCACGAUUUAAAUUGUGUUGCAGGGAGUUUUAUUAGCGUUGCUUUAUUUAUGAUUUGAUCAUACAAUGUCUACAUAAUUGAAAUCUUCUUCAAGUCACCUCCCUCCUUCAAGAUCAACGGUCCAUAAUGUUGGGUAUUCUUAACAUCAUUACCAAAAGUAGACUUAGUUUUCUAAUUCUAGUAACGGUGCCAAAAAUGCCAAACCUAUCCCUCACACCACUUAAGCCAAGUUGUCAUCCCCAACAUGACAUGAGAGACACGGUAUUGAAAUAUGCAAUUGCUCUUCUAAAUAAAUAAUGAAUGAGAUCUGCAAGCGCACAGAUUAAUACUGAAGCAGCAUUUUAACCGGGAAGUAUUUCAGGUAUCGUUAUUUAUAUUUUUACCACUGGGAAGGGAUUAGGAAUCAUCAACAUUGAUUACAGAAUAGAAUAUGAGAUUGAGUAUCUAUCAUUGCAUGUAUAAUUGAGAACAUUUAUCUAACUCUUUCAUACAGGGAUAAGAGUCACAUAAAACAUAUAUGAAAUAAUGAAUAGUGACAAAGAUAAUUAGUGUGAUCUAGCCACAUAAUAAAUAUGAUAAGCACCUCAAUUAGAUACUCUAGAAAGUCAUUAGCAUGGAAUUAGAAUGAACUACAAGAAUAUUUCCUAAGUUAUUCUAAACUAUAUAGUCUAGCAUUAUCAUAAUUAGUGCAAGCAUACUUAGCAAUCAUUGCGAGACAAGACUACGCCCAUGCAUAGUGAUAUGAGCAAGGUAAAUGAGAAACAUAGCAAUCACUCCCCUGUAAUAAUAUUGCUCUGCCAUCCCAAUACACGAGAGGGGGACUAUAUAAGAAUCAAUGAAGUUGUCACUAUCACGAACUACCCCACGAUCUGGCAUAUUGGGUACAAUCGCAGAUAAAUACGGUAUAAGCACCACGCCAACACAAUAUCUAUCAUUUACCUAUGGAUCCGAUGGAUAAAUGCUAUAUGAUCCUAAGCAUGUAUAUACAUCCAAUCUAACUAAGCCAAGUACAUACCUAUGAUAAACUAAGAACAAUAUAAUCUUGAAUAUAAGCAAGUAGAGCAAAGUCAUAAACAAUAUAUUGAAGUAGAACAAAGUCAUAUUCAUAAUAUUGAAGAACAAAGAUAAUUAGAAAGCAAUUAGAAGCACAAUUAGAGAAUUACCAAGAAUCCUCUUGACAGAUCCGGAAACCAAUCGAAGAUUGACUCCUUCUAGUUCUAAUCCUAUGUAGCUAUGCUAAUCUAGAUGUCUAAUUGAUGUGGUGGCUCUAAUCUUGAUCAGAGGCUUCUUCUCCCUUGAGAAUAAUGAAUUAGGGUUGAGAGGCUCUCUCCUCCGGGGCCAGGGGGUCUGGUUUUAUAGUCCCUUCAAGUGAAUAUGGGCCGUUGGAUCAAACUGACAUUGAUUGAACGGUUAUCCUUGAUCCUUUAGGUCGGUGGAGAUCUCCCACGAAGCAGAGUCCUGAUUGAACUCUCAGAGGGGGCGGGCGCCCAGGGCAGGUGGGCGGGCGCCCUGCCUCUGGCCCCGUUUCGCCUCCGCUUCGGUCUCGUGGCUUUUGGAGUCUUCUAGAUGUAAGAUAAUUGCGCGGCACGUUAAUAUCUCUAUGUAAUCCCGACGUGUGGGCCUUUCUUCCGUAUUUCCUGAUAACCCCCUGCAGAAAUAGACAAACACCAAAACUCGUGGAAUUCUGUCAGAUAAAACCCUAAGUCUAGAUGUUGAUUUCAUUUGGAUCCUUUUCUUUAUUUAUUUGAUAAUUAAAUUUGAUACUUAAGGACCGUCAACAAACUCCCCCAAGCUUACCUCUUGCUCGUCCCUGAGCAAGGAUAGACUCAGCUAUGGAUCAUAAGUUGUUGCAAUAUCUUUAAAAAUUGACGGUACACAUGCUUUUUUAAAUAAGAUCUCAUCUUUGAGUUAGAGUAAACUGUCAAGACUUAAAACAAACUUACUUUACCUUCACCAUGGGACUUGUAACCGUCACUUCUAUCUUGAGUAGUUAAAAGAUAAAACAGUCUAGUCAAGUGCCAUGUCUCUUAUUCUUGAUCAGCUAUAGCUCUGAAGUUUUUGCAGAUUUUCAAAUAAAACUCAGAGAUUCCUUGUAUGACUCUCUUAGAUCUCUCUUUUGUGGUAUUUCUGGAUCCUUACCAAGGCAGUGAUGGUAUAUGCCUUCUCUCAAGAUAUGUAGUAUUUGUAGUAUAAGGCAUAGUGACAUUGCCUUCUCUAUCACCCUACUCUAAUAAGGCUUUUACAUCUAGAGCUCAUAGGUGGGAGAUAAAAUAUACAUACUUAUAAGACAUUUAUUGUAUAGUCAAACCAUGGAUCCAAAGAAACAAAUCAAUAAGUCAAAUCAAGAUGUGCAUGUGUGGCGAAUGAAUGGUGUAUGGUGGUAAUGGUGAUAUAAUGGUGGAAGUCUAAUUCUACUUUUGCUCUUUUGAGGGGAUAUAUACCUUUCUUGCUUUUUGAAACUUUAUGAGGAGAAUGAGAUGCUCUUCUCUUUUUUUUCUUUUCUCUCAGGUGGGUAUCUUGUACCCCUAAUUCUACUGUCGGACACUUGUCCAUUUUUACCUCUCGUCUCACUUUUUCUUUUCUUCGAGGUUCCGGGCACUUGCCCCUUUUUAUUUCCUCGUAUCUCUUUUUUUUAGAGCACUCAUCUCUUGAGAUAAUAUAGCAAGUGGUAGUAACAAGAUAACUUGAGCAUUUAUUUCAUAAGGAAAAACAAAAAUAUUUUUGGCUAUUCUCUCCCGGAUUAGGAGUAGAAUAUUUUUGGGUGAUUCUGGAGAUAGAAAUGAGUAGAUAUAUGUGGAUGGUACUUCUAGAGUAGAAGUAGCAUAUAUGAGUGAACGUGCAAGUGAAUCUUGAUUUAACCACAUGACAAGCUCCUAAGGGUCUACACAGCUUGACCACACUCAAUGCUCAUAAGCAGUAAAUAAUAAAUGUGUGGCUCAAAGUCUAGCAAGCAUGUAUAUAUGGCUGUGGUAGGAAUUUAAACUCUCAUCAUACAGGAACUCAUCAUGUAAUAUUUUAAAGAUUUUCAAAGAUAAAAUUCUCCAGAAUUCUAGCAUCUCUAGGAACAGAUAAACAACAGCUCAACCUUCCCAUAUCGUAUCCGUUAACAACUUAGACUUCAAAUCAAGUUUUCAUCCCACAAGUUUAGGUCUAGAGCAAGCUUUAAAUCAUAACAGUUAUAUCUAAACUUGAGAGAGAACUUAAAAUGUGCAAAUUAGGCAGAGCAACUAUUCAUCAUAUCCAUGCUUGAGUUUUAUUUAGAUACAGAUUAGCAUAGCCACUUUCUUUAUUUAUUAAACACACUAAGCAAAAGAUAUAUAUAUAAGCAUAAAAUCUUUAUUUGGUUUUUCAUAGUUAUGUAUAUUUAAAUUCUAAAAUAAUAUAAGUAUAAAGAUAGAUAGAUAGAAAUACUUAUCGAGAUAAAUGGGGGUGCUCUCCCCCAAGCUGAAUUUUGACGUAAUUUCUCUUGAUGUAGCUAGCAGGUGACAGAGGUGUAUUUGAAAGUCAGCAGCAUUCUGACAGCGAUUAGAAUGUCCUCCGUCUGCUAGUCUUCUUGAUUCUUAAAUUCUGUGGAGCUCAAAUAGACAACAAAGCUUGUGGAACUGAUUAAGUGUUAGCAUAAAUAUCUAGCCUUUAUCCUGUUGAGACUCCUUAAUAAUUAUUACUCUCUAUUCUUUUAUAUUUUCGUUUUAUAAAACAGAAAAGAAAUUUUUAUUUUAUUUUUAUGCCACCACAGUGAAUGUACUUAUGGGUUUUAUAAAACAGUGAAUGUACUCACAUGGGGCUUACUGUUUUUCAUAUUUUUAUUUUAUUUUUAAGAUAGUAUGAACAUAAUUAACUAAGUAAACUAGUUGAAAUAAUUGAAAGGGAAAGAAUAACUACCAAGUUUACCUCUUGGCAAGGCGUUCGGUGUUUUUUUAAGUCCUCCGAACAGGACUCUCCUCUUUCUCAAUUGUCCUGGGAUUCGUUGGGUGGCAGAGUCGGUACUUCCGGCGGCGCCUCCUCUUCAUGUAUAGUUAUCUUCUCUUUCCAUACCUGACUCGGUGCUACGGUCUCCUCUGGAUAAUUCUGUUUAAACUCUACGUCUUCUGACCUUAUCACUUCUCCUUCAUAGUCUGUCCAUCCGUCCUUGAUGAUUUGCCUCCUCUGGUUGCGGUUGCGUUGUUUUCUUACCUGCUUAGAUUCUUCAACGAUAUAGUUAGGGUCAGUAAAAUAACGGCGUACCUUCUCUGAGGGGAAGUGCAUAUGGACUUCUCCGGUUCCAAUGUAGAUAAUUGCUUUAACGGUGCUGAGGAACGGUCUCCCAAGGAUGAUGGGUGGAUCAUACUCGUCUUCUCCCAUGUCAAUAACCUGAAAGUCUGUGUAGACAAAAUGAUCGUCUAUUUUGACUGGGACAUCAGUUACUAUUCCUUUAACUUCUUGAAACGUCCAAUCUGCCAUCUGGAGCUGAAUGUAUGUUGGUUUCAGGGGCAUGGUUCCGAACAAGAGCCGAUAGGUGACUGCGGCCAUUAUGUUGACGCCCGAUCCGGUGUCGCAAAAUGUCUUGUAGAAGCUGUAUCCAUUUAUGGAGCAAAAGAUGUUUGGCAUUCCUGGGUCAUCCUUCUUGGUCAAAAAUGGUGACUUAAGUUGGUGAUCUUGGCCUCCAUGAACUACAGUGACCAUCUUAGCUGACUCGGUCCAUACUUGCUUGUUCCUGUUCCUCCUGUUGGUCCUCUUCCUUGAUUCACGUCUGGAUUGAUCUGGAAUUUGUGUAGUCUUGUUCUUGAAGAAAAAUGUUUCCUUCCUCCCUUUGAUGUAGAAACUGAUCUUGGCAGCAUUGGUGUGGAUGAUAGCUCCUGUGGUGUUCAGGAAUGGCCUCCCUAAGAUGAUGGGUGCUCUCUCAUCGUUACCGGUCUCUACCACUACGAAUUCUGCUGGGGCAUACAAGGUACCAACUCGUACGCAAAGGUUCUUCAAUAUUCCCUUUGGAAAAGUUAUCGUUUGAUCUGCAAACUGCAAACACAUGGUUGUCUCUAAUAAAGGAUAUGUAAAGAAUUUUUCAUAGAGUACCCUGGGUAUAAUGUUGACGCUAGAGCCAAAGUCGCAGAGUGCUUCUGGGAUGUCCACCAUGCCGAUGGAGAUCGGGAUGACGGGGCAUCCUGGAUCGCCUCUCUUGACCGGCAGAAGGUCAGUAGAGAAUUCAGUGAUGGGGUUACUCCAAUUACCUGCAUCAAACAUGUCUACAAGAUUUGCAGAUUCUAAUCCUUCCAGUUGUAAUGGUAUAUCGGGGUUAGUAGCAGGAACAGCAGCAGUGUCACACCCGGAUGUAAAAGAGCAUUCGGGUGUCAAAUCACAUGUGCGCCAGGAUCUCAAAUUCACACACAUGGAUCGACAUCAUCAAUGGUACAAAACACAGUGUUCAAACGAAUUACAUAAAUGAGAGUAAAUGUACCAUUAUUACAAGCCAAAAGUUUAUCAAAGUGCGAAAGGGAAGCAUAAGCUAAACUGUUCCAAAGAUAAAAGAGGAAACUAAACGCCGACGCAGCAGGACCACCUUGCCACAGGAAGGUCGACGGCAGAACCACACGAGCCUAACAACCGGGAGACUCAGGGUAGUCCUCAGGGAAAUCACAAUUGUACUCCUGAUCGUCCGAGCAACCUUUAAUGAUUAUAGCAAGGGUGAGCUCAUGUCGAACUCAGCAAGCACAGACGGAAAGUAAUGACAUGCAAGGCUUAAAACAAGGUAAAGCUGACUUGGUUUGACUGCGGUAGCAUUUUAGUUGAUCACUUUAUUUAUGACUAUUAUUAGAACAACCUAUUACUAAUUAUGAGUGUUGACGGUCCUUAAGUAUCAAAUUUAAUUAUCAAAUAAAUAAAGAAAAGGAUCCAAAUGAAAUCAAGAUCCGGACCUAGGGUUUUAUCUGACAGAAUUCCACGAGUUUUGGUGUUUGUCUAUUUCUGCAGGGGGUUAUCAGGAAAUAUGGAAGAAAGGCCCACAUGUCAGGAUUACGUAAAGGUAUUAACGUGCUGCGCAAUUAUCUUACAUCUAGAAGACUCCAGAAGCCACGAGACCGAAGCGGAGGCGAAACGGGGCCAGACCCUGGGCGGCCGCCCAGUUGGUCAGGGCGCCCGCCCACCUCCUGAGUCCAAUCAGGACUCUGCUUUGCGGGAGAUCUCCACCGACCUAAAGGAUGAAUCUAAACCAUACAAUCUAUGUCGGUUUGAUCCAAGGGCCCAUAUUCACUUGAAGGGACUAUAAAACCAGACCCCCUGGCCCCUGGAGCAGAGAGCCUCUCAACCCUAAUUCAUUGUUCCAUCAAGGGAGAAGAAGCCUCUAAUCAAGAUUAGAGCCACCACAUCAAUUAGAUAUCUAGAUUAGCAUAGCUACAUAGGAUUAGAACUAGAAGGAGUCAAUCUUCGAUUGGUUUCCGGAUCUGUCAAGAGGAUUCUUGGUAAUUCUCUAAUUGUGCUUCUAAUUACUUUCUAAUUAUCUUUGUUCUUCAAUAUUAUGAAUAUGACUUUGUUCUACUUCAAUAUAUUGCUUAUGACAUUGCUCUACUUGCUUAUAUUCAAGAUUAUAUUGUUCUUAGUUUAUCAUAGUUAUGUACUUGGCUUAGUUAGAUUCGAUCUAUAUACAUGCUUAGGAUCGUAUAGCGUUUAUCCAUCGGAUCCAUGGGUAAAUGAUAGAUAUUGUGUAGGCGUGGUGCUUAUACCGUAUUUAUCUGCGAUUGUACCCAAUAUGCCAGAUCGUGGGGUGGUUCGUGAUAGUGACAGCUUCAUUGAUUCUUAUAUAGUCCCCCUCUCGUGUAUUGGGCUGGCAGAGCAACAUUAUUACAGGGGAGUGAUUGCUAUGUUUCUCAUAUUCCUUGCUAAUAUCACUAUGCAUGGGCGUAGUCUUGUCUCGCAAUGAUUGCUAAGUAUGCUUGCACUAACUAUGAUAUGCUAGACUAUAUAGUUGAGAAUAACUUAGGGAAUUUUCUUGUAGUUCGUUCUAAUACCAUGCUAAUGACUUUCUAGAGUAUCUAAUUGAGGUGCUUAUCAUAUUUAUUAUGUGGCUAGAUCAGAUUAGUUAUCCUUGUCACUAUUAUUAUUUCAUAUAUCUUUUAUGUGACACUUAUCCCUGUAUGAAGAGUUAGAUAUAAUGUUCUCAAUUAUACAUGCAAUGAUAGAUGCUCAAUCUCAUAUUCUAUUCUGUAAUCAUUAGUGAUGAUUGCUAAUCCCUUCCCAGUGGUAAACAUAUAAAUAACGAUACCUGGAAUACUUCCCGGUUAAAAUGCUACAUCGGUAUUAAUCUGUGCGCUUGCAGAUCCAAUUCAUUAUUUAUUUAGAAGAGCAAUUGCAUAUUUCAAUACCGCGUCUCUUAUAUCAUGCUGGGGAUGACAACUUGGCUUAAGUGGUGUGAGGGAUAGGUUUGGCAUUUUUGGCACCGUUGCUAGAUUUAGAACUUAGUCUACUUUUAGUAAUGAUGUUAAGAAUACCCAACAAGCAUUUUUGGCGCCGCUGCCGGGGAAGGUUGAUUACUAAUCAGGAAUGGAAUAAAAGAGUUUGAGUUAUCAUUCGCAUCACUAAUAUGAUUGAGCUUAUCUAUUCUCUCAUACAGUUUUACCCUAAUAUUUUUCUAUUUUAUCUUAUGCAGGGGAAUGUAUGAAUAGAAGACAUCUUCCAGGAAAUUUUGUUGACAAUCUCGAAGCAUUAUUCAAGAAGACGAGAGCCAAGCUAAAGAAAUCAUCAACACUUCAGCAAGAAGCUUCAUCCAGUCAAGAAGAUCACCGGAACUUGUCUUCAGAGUUCGAAGCCAUGGCCAACAAAUCAAUCCGUGAGUUCUCAGCUCCCACUAUGGACAACAUCCGCACUGGACCUGCUGCAGAGAUCGAUGGCAACUUUGAGCUCAAGCCUAGACUUAUCAACAUGGUGCAAUCCAACCAGUUCUGUGGGAAGGCACACGAAGACGCUAGUGCUCAUUUACAACACUUCCUGGAGAUUUGCAACACAUUCACCAUAGCAGGAGUUUCCAAAGAUGCUAUACUACUUCGCGUCUUCCCAUUCUCACUGUUAGGAAGAGCGAAGCAGUGGUUCUACGCUACAAAGGAGAAGAAUACUACGUGGGCACUCUGCUCAACAAACUUCCUGGCUAAGUUCUUUCCCAUGGGCAAGACCAAUGCUCUCCGUGGGAAGAUUACAAGUUUUCAGCAACAAAAUGAUGAAUCUGUUCCAGAAGCAUGGGAGCGCUUUCAAGACUACAUCCUAGAAUGUCCCCAUCAUGGAAUGGAGAGUUGGCUACUGAUGCAGACAUUCUAUCAUGGGCUCAGCAACAGUGCCCGAGAGACCAUGGAUGCUGCAGCUGGAGGAGCAUUCUUAUCACUUACUAUACCACAAGCCACAGCUCUUGUGGAGAAGAUGGCGUCCAACCAAAGCUGGAAUGAAGAGAGGACCCAGACACGCAAGAGAGGUGGAGGUAUGCAUCAGCUGAAGGAGGUAGACAUGCUGUCUGCAAAGCUAGACCUGCUCAUGAAGAAGCUCGACGAUAGAGCUGGAGACAAGAAAGAAGUUAUGCACAUCUACGACUCUCACGUCACUUGUGAGGAGUGCGGAGACACUCGACACUCAGGCAACCACUGCCCUGAGAUGCUUGAGGAUGUGAACUACAUCAAUAACAACAACAACAACAACUACAACCGUCCUCAACAAAAUCAAGGUUGGAAUCAACAGAGGCCUAACUACUCAGGUAAUUAUCAAGGUAACAAUUCUUACAACAAUAAUAAUAAUUUUCCACAUUUGAGAGAGUUAGUGUCUAAUCAAGGAAAGCUAAUGGAUAACCUGUCUAAGAAAUUGGCAUCAAAUGAUAAAAUGCUAGAAAAUAUAAAUAAUAGAAUGGAUAAUUUCUCUACUGCCAUCAAGAAUCAAAUUAGCUUUAAUAAAAUGAUUGAAUCUCAGUUAAAUCAAAUAGCUGUUGCUGUUCCCACUACUAACCCCGGUAUACCAUCACAACCGGAAGGAUUAGAAUCUGCAAAUCUUGUAGACGUGUUUGAUGCAGGUAAUUGGAGUAACCCCGUCACUGAAUUUUCUACUGACCGUCUGCCGGUCAAGAGAGGCGAUCCAGGACGCCCCGUCAUCCCGAUCUCCAUCGGCAUGGUGGACGUUCCAGAAGCACUCUGUGACUUUGGCUCUAGCGUCAACAUUAUACCCAGGGUACUCUAUGAGAAAUUCUUUACAUAUCCUUUAUUAGAAACAACCAUGUGUUUGCAGUUUGCAGAUCAAACGAUAACUUUUCCAAAAGGAAUAGUGAUGAACCUUUGUGUCCGAGUUGGUACCUUGUAUGCCCCAGCAGACUUCGUAGUGGUAGAGACUGGAAAUGAUGAGAGAGCACCUAUCAUCCUAGGUAGGCCAUUUUUGAACACCACGGGAGCUAUCAUCUACGCUAGUGCUGCCAAGAUAAGUUUCUACGUCAAAGGGAAGAAGGAGACAUUUUUCUUCAAGAACAAGACUACACAAAUUCCAAAUCAAUCCAGACGUGAAUCAAGGAAGAGGACCAACAGGAGAAACAGGAACAAGCAAGUGUGGACCGAGUCAGCUAAGAUGGUCACUGUAGUCCAUGGAGGCCAAGAUCACCAACUUAAGUCACCGUUUUUGACCAAGAAGGACGACCCAGGAAUGCCAAGCAUCUACUGCUCCAUAAAUGGAUAUAACUUCUACAAGACGAUUUGCGACACCGGAUCGGGCGUCAACAUAAUGGCCGCAGUCACUUAUCGGCUCUUGUUCGGGACCAUGCCACUAAGACCAACAUGCAUUCAGCUCCAGAUGGCAGAUCAGACAUUUCGAGAAGUUCAAGGAAUAGUAUCUGAUGUCCCAGUCAAAAUAGACGAUCACCUUGUCUACACAGACUUUCAAGUUGUUGACAUGGGAGAAGAUGAGUAUGAUCCACCCAUCAUCCUUGGAAGACCGUUCCUCAGCACCGUUAAAGCAAUUAUCUACAUUGGAACCGGAGAAGUCCAUAUGCACUUCCCCUCAGAGAAGGUACGCCGUUAUUUUACUGACCCUAACUAUAUCAUUGAAGAAUCUAAGCAGGUAAGGAAAAGACGCAACCGCAACCAGAGGAGGCAGAUCAUCAAGGACGGAUGGGCAGACUAUGAAGGAGAAGUUGUAAGGUCAGAAGACGUAGAGUUCAAACAGAAUUAUCCAGAGGAGAUUGAAGCACCGAGUCAGGUAUGGAAAAUGAAGAUAACUAUACAUGAAGAGGAGGCGCUGCCGGAAGUACCGACUACGCCACCCAACGAACCUCAGGACGAUUAAGAAAAUGGAGAGUCCCGUUCGGAGGACUUAAAAACACCGAACGCCCUGCCAAGAGGUAAACUUGGUAGUUACCCUUUCCCUUUCAAUUAUUUCAAUUAUUUCAAAUAGUUUACUUAGUUAAUUAUGUUCAUGCUAUCCUAAAAAGAAAAUAAAAAUGUAAAAAACAGUAAGCCCCAUAUGAGUAGACGAGUGGCAUAAAACCCAUAAGUACAUUCACUGUGGUGGCAUAAAAAUAAAAUAAAUAUUUUUUCUGCUUUAUAAAAACAAAAAUAUAAAAACAGAGAGUAACAAUUAUUAAGGAGUCUCAACAUGAUAAAGGCUAGAUAUUUAUGCUAACACUUAAUCAAGUUCCACAAGCUUUGUUGUCUAUUUGAGCUCCACAGAAUAUCAAGAAGACUAGCAGACGGAGGACAUUCUAAUCGCUGUCAGAAUGCUGCUGACUUUCAACUACACCUCUGCCACCUGCUAGCUACAUCAAGAGAAAUUACGUCAAAAUUCAGCUUGGGGGAGAGCACCCCCAUUUAACUCGAUAAGUAUUUCUAUCUAUUUUUAUACUUAUAUUAUUUUAGAAUAUUAAAAUACACAUAAACUAUGGGAAAACCAAAUAAAGAUUUUAUGCUUAUAUAUGUCUUUUGCUUAGUGUGUUUAAUAAAUAAAUAAAGUGGCUAUGCUAAUCUGUAUCUAAACAAAAACUUAAGCAUGGAUAUGAUGAAUAGUUGCUCUACCUAAUUUGCACAUUCUAAGUUCUCUCUCAAGUUUAGAUAUAACUGUUAUAAUUUAAAGCUUGCCCUAGACCUAAACUUGUGGGAUGAAAACUUGAUCUGAAGUCUAAGUUGUGAAUGGAUACGAUAUGGGAAGGUUGAGCUGCUGUUUAUCUGUUCCUAGAGAUGCUAGAAUUCUGGAGAAUUUUAUCUUUGAAAAUCUUUAAAAUGUUGCAUGAUGAGUUAACCACAGCCAUAUAUACAUGUUUGCUAGACUUUGCGCCACACAUUUAUUAUUUACUGCUUAUGAGCAUUGAGUGUGGUCAAGCUGUGUAGACCCUUAGGAGCUUGUCAUGUGGUUAAAUCAAGAUUUCACUUGCACGUUCACUCAUAUAUGCUACUUCUACUCCAGAAGUACCAUCCACAUAUAUCCAUCCAUUUCCAUCUCCAGAAUCACCCAAAAAUAUUCUGCUCCUAAUCCGGGAGAGAAUAACCAAAAAUAUUUCUGUUUCCCCUUGUGAAAUAAAUGCUCAAGUUAUCUUGUUACUACCACUUGCUAUAUUAUCUCAAGAGAUGAGUGCUCUAAAAAAAAGAGAGAAGAAAAUAAAAAAAAUAUACGAGGAAAUAAAAAGGAGCAAGUGCUCGGAACCUCGAAAGAAAAGAAAGAGUGAGACGAGAGGUAAAAAUGGACAAGUGUCCGACAGUAGAAUUAGGGGUGCAAGAUACCCACCUGAGAGACAAGAAAAAGAAGAUCAUCUCAUUCUCCUCAUAAAGUUUCAAAAGCAAGGAAGGUAUGUAUCCCCUCAAAAGAGCAAAGUAGAAUUAGACUUCCACCACCAUUGUUAUCACCAUCAUCACCAUACACCAUUCAUUCGCCACACAUGCACAUCUUGAUUUGGCUUAUUGAUUUGUUUCUUUGGAUCCAUGGUUUGACUAGGCAAUAAAUGUCUUGUGAGUAUGUAUACUUUAUCUACCACCUAUGAGCUCCAAAUAUUAAAGCCUUAUUAGAGUAGGGUGAGAGAGAAGGCAAUGUCACUAUGCCUUAUACCACAAAUACUACAUAUCUUGAGAGAAGGCAUAUACCAUCAAUGCCUUGGUAAGGAUCCAAAAAUACCACAAAAGAGAGAUCUGAGAGAAUCAUACAAGGAAUCUCUGAGUUUUAUUUGAAAUUCUGCAAAAGCCCCAGAGCUAUAGCUGAUCAAGAAUAAGAGACAUGGCACUUGGCUAGACUGUUCUAUCUUUUAACCACUCAAGACGGAAGUGACAGUUACAAGUCCCAUGGUGUAGGUAAAGUAAGUAAGUUUUAAGUCUUGACAGUUUACUCUAACUCAGAGAUGAGAUCUUAUUUAAAAAGCAUGUGUACCGUCAAAUUUUAAAGAUAUUGCAACUACUUAUGAUCCAUUGCUAAGUCUAUCCUUGCUCAGGGACGAGCAAGAGGUAAGCUUGGGGAGUUUGUUGACGGUCCUUAAGAAUCAAAUUUAAUUAUCAAAUAAAUAAAGAAAAGGAUCCAAAUGAAAUCAAGAUCCAGACUUAGGGUUUUAUCUGACAGAAUUCCACGAGUUUUGGUGUUUGUCUAUUUCUGCAGUGGGUUAUCAGGAAAUAUGGAAGAAAGGCCCACAUGUAAGGAUUACGUAAAGGUAUUAACGUGCUGCGCAAUUAUCUUACAUCUAGAAGACUCCAGAAGCCACGAGACCGAAGCGGAGGCGAAACGGGGCCAGACCCUGGGCGGCCGCCCAGUUGGUCUGGGCGCCCGCCCACCUCCUGAGUCCAAUCAGGACUCUGCUUUGCGGGAGAUCUCCACUGACCUAAAGGAUGAAUCUAAACCAUACAAUCUAUGUCGGUUUGAUCCAAGGGCCCAUAUUCACUUGAAGGGACUAUAAAACCAGACCCCCUGGCCCCUGGAGGAGAGAGCCUCUCAACCCUAAUUCAUUGUUCCAUCAAAGGAGAAGAAGCCUCUGAUCAAGAUUAGAGCCACCACAUUAAUUAGAUAUCU